rnacentral:lncRNA from 1 species
CUUUUUUUUUUUUUUUUUUGUCGACACUGGGGUGUUCGGGUCAAGACCCGAAGGCGGCCCGACUAAUCCCCAGCGGCUCGGGAGGAGAGGCCCCAUCCCCCCAAGCACGGUAACCCUGCACGACUCGAACCCCUGGCAAGCGCUCCUAAGGAGGCGUGCGCUGCCAGAUGAGCUGCCCAAGAGGGGCCUUAAACUGCCUUCAGUAGUCCAUAAGAUACAAUCUAACAAAAAUUCCGCCUGCAAAGAAAUUUGCCUGGAUCCUCCUCAGAACUCCUCAAAUCUCGUCUCAAUGGAAUCUCAGAGAGGUUUAUAUUUGAUUUAACUAAAAGUAUGUCCAACAAACACUUUUCUUAAAUAGUCUGUUGAAGGGUAAAUUUCUUGGAAUAUUGAUUAAAGAAAAAAAUGUUGGAAAAAUAUGAUCCUGUAGAGGUGGUUUUCUUGUUAUAUGCCCGUUGAAUCCACUGGAUACGACUGGCAAUUUUUUUUAUUUUUUUAAUCUAAAAUACUGAAUAUGCUGGCCGGUUAUCUAUUUUGUAGCAGGGACCAAUUUAUAAAUAAGGCUUUUUUUUCUUUUGCCUUUUGAGCGAACUGAUAUGAUCAGAAUACAUGAUAGUGCUGGAAACAACUUUUUAUUUCAUCCCCAAGCUAAGUAAAAUCUUUUCCGGUGCUGCCGUCGAGUUCUUUUGAAAAUCACAUAACAAGUCAUGUAGAUUUUAAGUAGGUUUAAUCAUAUAUUAGUAAAUACAAAUUUGAUUUAUAUUUACAUAAAGGAAAAUAGUUGUGACACAAUUUACGAGCAAGAAAGUUUUUAAUGAUUUUCAAUUUUUUUCCUACCUGGAGAAAACAAAAGUCUAAACUUGAAAUAUAAUAAGAACAGAGAAAUAUUAAAAUUAGAGAUCAUAUAGAGUAAUUAUGAUUCAACUACAUACAAAAUGGUAAUUAUCUUAUAAUAGGAAAUUUUUUAAAAAUCAUGAGAAGGGGCAAGGGACUUGAAUCCAAGACCUCUAAUUCUUAAUACUUCAACCUUUGUCAUAGACCGAGGAUUUGAUAACAGAGAUUAGGGGUGGCAAUGGGGCGGGGGACUCCUCCCCCACCUCUCGCCCCCCUGCUUCACCCACCCCGCUUUCCCCGCAGGGGUUAAAAAAUUUUGUUAUAUAAUUUCAUUAUAAUUAAAUUUUAGCAAAUAAUCAAGUACUAAAAUAUCAACACAUCACCAAAUUAUUAUUCAUUGUAAUUUCACAAUUGAAAUUCAUAAAAAUAAUUGAAUAAAAGUUAUUUGAGUACAAUCUAAUAUGAUAUAACAAAUAUAACAAAAAUAAUUAAGUUUUCACUUUUGAUACAAAUACAAUCACUAAAUUAUUAUUGUAUUUUUUUUAGAAAAAAGUGUUAUUGUAUUAAGUGUAAUUAGGAAUUCAAUAUAAAUGUAUUAAUAAAUUUAGUAUAAAUAAUUAAUAAUUUUUAUUAAUAGACAUGUAUAAUUAGUAGUAUAAUUGAUAAUAUCAAUUAUAUUACAUAUACUAAUAUACAUUAAAUGAUACAUAUAACUAAUAAUAUCAUUAUUAUAAAUUUAUAACUAAUUAAAUUAAAUAUUAUAUAUAUAAUUAUGUACAUAUAUAUAUAGAUAUCUUUAUUUUUUUUAAAUGGGUGGCGGGGCGGGGUAAUCUAAACGCAUGGAAAAAAUUUCCCCCCGUCCCCGCCCCAAUUGCCCCCUGUGGGCCCUCGGCCCCAUUGCUAUCCUUAACAGAGAUGUAACAAAAUCAACACUAAGAAGUGACCUAUACACAACGAUUUAGAGUAAAAUAUACAGUAAACUUCUAUAAAUUAAUAUCUUCUAUUAAAUAAUAAUUUUUUUGAUCUCGAGUUGGAAUAACAAGUUAAAUUAACAAUUUUGAUGAAAUAAUAAGAUAAUAUAUAUUUUUUGAAAACUUCAUCUAACUUUUUGGUACUAUUCAUAUCAUAAAUUAAUAAUUCAUCAAAAUUACAUUUCAUAUUUUAUAAAAAUAUGAGUUUAUUAUUUUUUAAAAAAUUUAAAUUUACUUAAAUCUCAUCUUUAGUUUUAUAUUCAUUAAACUUUUAAACUUCUUUUAUUAAUAAAUUAAUUCAUUUUUUUAUAAAAAGAAUAAUGAGCAAUCACUUGACGCCAACGAGUAGGAAAAAGGACUAACCAAAAUGUUUAAAAGCAUUAUGCUUAAUUAUUGAUCCCAGAAAACAAAUUUUGCAAUAGUUGAUUGUCCUAAUAAAUCUUGACUUAACCCAAAAAAAGGGAUAAAAAACAAGUAAAUUGGUGUGUUUUGUCAUAUAACCUAUGAGAUUAGAAAUAAAAGGUAUUCAAAAGGUGCAUCAUCUUCACAUGCAAGUCAGACGGUUUCGGAUACCACCAAAUCACCUGAUCAUAACUUUGUACUCAAAUUAAAAAGUUGCAUGUCCUUUUUAAUCAAGAAAAUAUAUUAAAAAAAAAGCAAAAUCAGGACUCUUUAUAAUCUUCACAACAAAUUACAGCAAUGGAGGAGUGGCAGCAAAGACGAUGAAAUUCGGGUGGUGGUGGACGAGCCUGUUGGUAGCGGCAGUGGUUGUUUGGUGGAGGAGCUACGGUGGGCUAGGAAACGACAGCAGAUAUUCGCGUUUGGGAAACUUCUGGUUGGGGUAGAUACUUCUUUGUUUGGAUUGCAUUUUUUUAAAUUUUUUAUUGCAAAAUUAUUGUAACGAUUUGAUAUAUGUAAAGUAAAAAAGUGAUUGAAGAUAUUUGUUUGGAUUGACCUUUAUUUCCCCAAAUAUAUUUGCUUACAUUAUCAUUACAAUUUCCAAUACAUCUUUUUACCUUCCCAAUUACCUUUUCAUCUCACAUACAUCACAUCGCAAAAAAUGCUACAAUAAAAAUAUCUCAAAUAACUUACAAUCCAAACAAACCCAGGAGUGUAGCAAUUUUUUAAAAUUUUUUUAAUCCAAUCAAAGCCGCCCUACAUAUAGAAAGUAGUUGUUUCGCAUGUGCUCUUUUUGCUUGAUCAGUGAAGAAAAUAUAGAAAGUAGUAAAAGAUUAAGCUCUUAUGUCUUAGACAUUUUAUUUUGGAUGAGAAAUGAAAGUCUCCUCAGUGCCGUUGAACGCUAGAUGUACAGCUUUUUUAACCUUUGCUCGCACAUAUAAAUUUCUUUUAUAAUGAAUGAAAUUAUCCUUUUGACAAAAAUAAAUAAAUAAAUCAAUCAAAGCCGCUCCACUUGUUUCCUUGUUUUGUAGGUCAAGGUCCGGUCUGAUUGAAAAAGUCAACUGGUGGACCCGGAAACUUUUGACCGCCUACUUUGUUAGAAACCCGGACCCCUUUCGAAAGGGCAAACGUCUUUUCAACAUUAAUACGUCCAAAAUUGAAAAUACAUAGCACUACAUAGACUCCGCACCAGCCACAAAAAUCUGAUCCCCAACACCAUGAUUCCCCUUUCCGCUGUUCCACUUGAAUUUGCACGCUAACAUACCACCAUCACAUGCGUACAACAAAGACGAAGAAUUAUCGGUCCUCAAGUCUACUUGGGAUUCUCUAUGUAAUUACUUGGUGUCAAAUUCAGUGUCAAUCUCACUUAUCAUGAUAAAAGAAAUUUAAAUAAAUAAUACAUGAUAAAUUAAAUAAACGGGACAUUUGAUAUAAACAUAAAAGUAACACUGAAUUAUCACUGAAAAAGUGAUAUUAAGGAUCUCGUGUUCCCCAAGUCAACAUACCGGGACAUCAGUCAAGUGAUAUUAUUAUAAGAUUAAUUCAUGGUUCAAUUUUCAAACCCUUUUCUUUCUUCCUUCCCUCUUCAACUCUGCAAAACAUAAAAAUCUCCUGCUAGGAAAAAAAAUACAUAAAUAAAUAGUGAAUCUGACCUGAAGACCCGACCCGGUUUGGGAUUAUUGAGUUGGCAAAGAGAGAAAAUUUUAAAUUUAUGAUGAUGCAUGCCUGGGAGACUUGGUGGCAACUACUCCUAGCUAGGAGCAGGAAGGGUCAGCCGCAAGGGCGGGUCUAGGACCAAUCCAAAUCCGAGACAUGAGUGAGUGCAACACUUGUUCCCAUGAUGACGCUGCUCUCAAACACUCACUGCAACAUUGCACCGAGUUAUCUACAGAACUCAUUUGGGAAAACAUCCAAAGAAUUAUUAAUUGGGUUGCGACUUAACGUUUUCGAGGAUUCAGAGGAAAGCCUCAAAACCUAAACUCAGAUUCUACUAUUUCGGAUUAAAAACUCUCUGUUGAAAAAACUCUCCUCAUAAACUAAACAAUAGCAUACUGUCAUAUGUUAUACUCAAAAUAUAUUUGUUGACAUUCAAAUAACAAUAAAUCCUUCCAGUAACAAAUUAAACGCACAAAAUAUAUCCAUCCAUAGGGUUUAUUAGUUUAUUAUUGCAGUGAGACUGGUGCAAGAAAAUGCGGCUAAUUCCCAGCUUACUCCAGCUUCCUCCAGGAUUCUACCAAUUUGGCCAAUGCCACAAUGGAUGAGCCCCCAUCAGCCAUUGCUUGCUUUGCUUCCUCCUUCUUUGCCUGGGCUGUUUCCCUGAUCACCUUUCCUUCCUCCGAAUCCAUCAACCCCCUAACUCGCUUCUCGAUUUCAGCCGCUUUCACGAACCCACCUUCCGUACUUUCAUCCAUUGGUAAGGCCAACUUCAUCUCCUCAACUAAGAACAGCCUAUUCAGCUUCUGCUCAGCAUAAAGUGGCCACCCCACCAUAGGCACACCCGCACAGACUGCUUCCAACACUGAGUUCCACCCACAGUGGGUCACAAACCCACCCACCGACCCAUGAUUCAACACAUCCACCUGCGGUGCCCAAGAACUCACCACGAAACCCCUACCCUUUGACCGGUCCAAAAACCGGUGGGGAAGCAACAAAUCCAGAUCUGGGGCGGGUGGAGUUUGAAAGCGGUUGGUUUUGUCCUCAGAAGGCGGACUGCGCACCACCCACAGGAACUUUUGCUCGCUCCUCUCCAACCCGAUGGCUAUCUCUUUCAGUUGCUCAGCUGGAAAUCGACCCACGCUCCCAAAGCACAAGAAUACAACGCUUCGACUUGGUUGCAUAUCCAGCCAUUUCAAACAUUCAUGCACACCUCCUCCCGUUCCACCUGCUGCACCUCCACCUUUCCCGUUGUCUGAUGCAAUCAGAGGUCCUAAGCUGAAAACAGGCGGAGUGGGGCCAUCCGGAACAUACUUUCCAUCAGCGAUUGAUUUCAAGAUGCUAGGUUCGAGCGAUUCGAACGUGUUGACUAGGAUCCCGGACGAUUUUGCCAAUUGCGUCGCAACAUCUAAGAAAAAUGCAUACUCAGGAGACGUUCUUUCCAGCAAAGGGACUAACAUGUCUCGUGGUGGUAUCGGCAGUAAAUCAGGAACAUGUAAAAGUUCGUCCAGGUCUUUAAAGCUUUUGUUUGUUGACUGGUGGAGCGUGGGUAAGUAAAGGAGGAGAGCGAGACAAUUAGCGCCGGAAGUGAAGAAGUAAUAAGUCGGGAUUCCAAGGUUGGUAGCAACAGAGAGGGCACAGGUGCAAAAGAAGUCGAUGAUGAAUGCAGAGAUUCCAGCUGUCAAGGAGAUGGAGUGCAGAGCUUGGUGAACAUGAGGGUUGCUGAGUCGAAGGAGCUCGAAGUGGAGAGCUUCCAAGGAGGGGUAAGAGUCAGGGUCAAGAGGCGGAGAGGGCAGGUGGUGGAAAGUGAUGGAAGGGGUGGUGGCAGAAAUGCGAUUCAUGUAAGCAGCAGUGGAGGCUGCGGUGUUGUAUGGCGGGUUCACAACGAGAAUAGUAACAGCCAAUCCAGGGUGGUGGUUGAGAGUGAACUUACCCAACUCCACCAUGGAAACCAGGUGACCCAUGCCCGGAGAUGGAUACAGAACUAUUGUAGGAUUGCUCCCCAUCUCUCUCUCUCUCUAUGUGUUCGUGCACCCAAUUUCCACAAAAACUACGCGACUCUUUGAGCCAAUUGAGAGCCUCAAAUUUCCAAGUUCCAAAUAAAUAGAGAGCAACUCCCUUCUAUUUUCCAUAGCCAAUAAAUGCAAUCAACUGACUGUUCUUUGUCAAGUCCCCGUAGGCAACAUCAACUUGUCUUUGAGCGAAAGUCGAGUCACCGUUUCUCUCAUGUACAUCGAAAACGUCGUACAUCGCCCGGGAGGGUCUUUUAGCAAAAGUCCAGUCAACGAAAAUUCUACGAUUGGUAUAGUGGUUUGUACCAAUGCAUUGGUAAAGUGGUUUGAUGUGGUAGGAGCCAGACACGUUAGGAAAAGCAAAAUUCAAGGUUGUUUUAGGUGUGGGUUAAGGCUACCGGAACUUAAAUGAGUGUUGUGAUGGUGGGUUCCACAUUGAAAUGACCCAAGACAAUUUGUCAGUCACAUGGGUUCACCCACGUUAACCCAUGUGAAAAGACCCAAGACAUUAUUAAUAUUGUUUUCUAAUUUAUAUACAAUAGACAUAAUGAAGAAAAUGUAAAGUUAGAUACAUAACUGAAAAGAAAUUAGAAAAAAUAAAUAAUAUAUGUAUGUACAGAAUUAGACAAAUUUUGAUUCAUUUAAUUACAUAAAUUGACAAAAGAGUAGAUAAUUUAAAUAUUUUGGAAGAAAUUUUGGAAUAAUAUAUACAAUUAAUUAAACAGAUCAUAGGAAUUAAUAAUUGUAAAGGAAUAAAUGAAUGGUUAAUUAAUUAGUUGAGAUGGAAUAUUUGUAGGAGAAGUAAUAUGUUGUUUUAUUAUAUGAGAAGUAAUUAAUAUGAUUCUUUUAUUAUAUUUGCGGGUAGAACAUAAAGAAAUGUUUAAAAAAUGCAUUUGUAAUGGUAUUAGUCCAAAUUAAUGAGAAUGAAUUGAUGACAUAAUAACCGGAGUGCAAAUAGGUGAAAUUUAAUUAGACCAUACUUGUCACUUUUAAAAUUUCAACAUUAUCAUCAUAAUCACCUUAAUUAUACUUUUAUCAUUUGAAUAACAUAUUGUCUAUAUAUUGUCAUCCAAUAGCAUAACUAACUUUCAUCGAUAAUCAACCAUAAACAUUAUAAUUACCAAAUUCAUUAAAAUAAUAUUAAAAAAGCUUUUAAAGAUCAAAGUUUUUUUGUUUAUUAAAAUUUUAUGCCAAUUUCUUCCAUAUAAAAAGUGAUUGUUUUAAAUUGCACAUAGAUUGAGUGUGCUCUUUAUCACUAGUAAUACUAAUGGCAUUUGUCCUAAUGUAUACAUGCUUGAAGUAAAAUGUUCGUAUUGAUUAGACUAUGUAGUGAUAUAGUUAAGAAUAUUUUUAAUUGGUAUAAAUACAAAAAUAUAACUCCUCAUUGUCUAUUCUAAAAAUAUGACAACAAACAAUCUUCACAUUAAAAGUAUUCCAUAUAUUUUCAUGGAUAAUAUAAUACAAGAUGACAUGCCCAAAAUUUACUAAUGAAUGAAUAAUUUUCUUUCAAAUAAUAUAAAAAACUUUUUACAGUUGGUACCCCAAACUUGAACAUAUUUUUAGGCAAAAAGAGAUAAAAAUUUAUGAUUAAGUGACAAAAUUUAAAUCAAUAUAUGACAUAUAUCCAAAAUUUUGGAAGAAAUACAGUUCUUGGUUAUAAUACUUUGCAUGCAUGUAGGACUGAUCAUUAAUGCUUGGAUCAAAACAAAUUUGGUCCCCAAAGUUUCAAAUCUUAAGCAUAUUUAGGAUAAUUGACGAAAAAAUGAUGAUUAAAGAUCAAAGUCAAUUUGCCACUACUCAAUAGUUUUGGCUUUGCAUUUUUUAUAGCAAUGUUUCGAAUUUGGAUCAUCAUUGGUAUCUUAGAUUUUAAAUAAUGAUAUUAACGGUUUCAAAGGAAAAAAAUGUAAAUUAGAUUGAAAUUAUGUUGAAAAUGUGCAAAAGUUCGGGAAACUUCUUUCUUUUAUUUUUUUUAUUUUGUGUAUUCAUCCCACUUGUUUCUCAUAGACUUUUACUCUUGGAUAACUGGUCUCAAAUGUAGCAUAAUAUAUGUAUGUAUGGUUUUGUCAGUUGUUGUCUUUUUGUUAUUUCGUAACAAUGAUCAAUUAGUGGAUAUAGUUUUGAACUAUUGUUUUUGUAAUCGAGGAAAAAAUUGAAAUGUGGAAUAAAAUUGCUUAUGCAGUAUUGUUUGUAACUAGUUUAGAUCGAAAGAAAGAACAGUUUGAUUGUAGGCAAGAAAAAAUCAAAACAUGUAAAAGAAUAUGCUUUUAGAUUAUAAUUUGUAAUUUUUUUGAAGAGAGAAAUAAAGAGUUGUUUCUAUAUAUGUUGUACUUUUGUAAAUGAAUGGGAACUCUCUUCAUGAACCAAGAAUCAUAAAAAAGGAUGUAAUUACUUUAGUAUAUGACAUAAAAUGGGUAAGACCAAUUUAAAAUAUUUGUUAAUAUUGUUUUCUAAAUUAUGAACAAUAGAGUGGUAGAAUUGUAAGUAUAGAAAAAAUAAGAAAUAUUGUUUUUAGAUUCAUUGUGUAGUUGUAGAAAGUAGAAAGAAAGAAACCGAUUCGUAGAAGCAAGAUAUUGUAUAAGGUAAAUAUUAGAUGACUUGAGUCGAUUUGAGCACGAUUAUUUAAUGAAUGUUUGUAUGGGUUGGAUAAGAAAAUGCUAAAUGCAAUUAAAAUAUUUAAUAAAAUUAGGCACAAAUGUACUAAUUUAUGUGGAAAAUCUCGUGGAAUAUUGUAGUUGGAUUGCUUGAAUCGAUUAUGGACCCACUAAGGAUUAAGUGAAAUGUUGGCAUCGUUAGUGAAUUCCCGCUAGAAUACAAAUUUUGAAGAUUAAAUAUAAUUUUGUACCUGUUGUGAUUGAAGAAUUAGAAUAGAAUUAUAAGUAAAGUUUAUGGUUAUAUUGGUUGAACCGAAAAUUAAGACUGAUGUUGUUUGGUUGAAUUGAAAAUUGAGUGUCAGACUGGUUUGUAGGCAAAAACAUUAUGACAUUGUGAAAAAUGUUGUCGUAAUAGAAAAGGCAAUUAGUGCAAAUUAAUUGAGUGAACAAUAGACAUUACGAAGAAAAUGUAAAGUUAGAUACAUAACUGAAAAAAAGUUAGAAAAAAUAAAUAAAUUGACGUAAGAGUAGAUAAUUUAAAUAUUUUGGAAGAAAUUUCAAGCUAGAUAAUAUAAAAUUAGGUAGUAGUAGUACAAUUAUAUGGAUUACAAAAAAUAAUUAAUAUAUGUAUAUGCAAAAUUAGAUAAAUUUAGAUUGAUUUAAUUAUGUAAAAUGACAUAAGAGCAUAAAAUUUCAGCAUAGAUAAUAUAAAAUUAGAUAGUCGUAGUAAAAUUUGGAUAAAUUAAUUGUAGAUAACAAUAUUGUGUUGGAUGCCAAUCUGAUAAUUAAAAUUUGCAGCCAGCCCAUCUUACCUUGGGUCUCUUAUUGCGGUGGGGGUGUAAUCAUAGUUGUUAGGAUCACGAUCGGAUCGUACGAUCCUACGAUCCGGAUUAAGACUAACGAUCCAACUUACGAUCCUGAUACGAUCCUACUAUUUUCAAUAAAUUAAUAAUAAUUUUAGUAUUUUGACUAUAUCUUUGUGUAGAAAACUCGAAAUUAAGUGUCGUUUGUUGCGUUGUAAAUUAUAUUCGGAGUGCUUUAAAUCCAUGUAAAUAAUUAAGCCCAAUUCCAAAUCUAGAAAAUUUGAUGAAUCUUUAAAUUUGACUCAUAUAAUUCACUAAAGUAAAUAAAUGAUCUUUGUUAUAGGUUAUCACAUGGAACUAGUGUUUUGUGUCUUUAUUAUAAUAAAUUAAUAUGGUUUAGAGCCUUUAGAAAUGAAUUAACCUUAAUUAACAAUAUAAUUAUACUGAUUGCACAUGAAUUACAUUGUUUGUUAAUAUAUUUAUGAAUUGCAAAUUUAAAAAUUAUAAAUAUGACAAUUUAUUACAUUUUUUGUAGGAUCUACCGAUUCUAUGAUCCGAUCCUACGAUCCGAUCUUGCAAACCAAAAAACGACGCUAGGUAGGAUCCCGAUUUUGAAAACCUUGGGUGUAAUUUCUUCGGCCUUGGGUCUAUUAGUGAGGUGGGAAUGUAAUUUCUCCGGAGAUGAACUUGCCUAUUCUUCCUACCGAAGCCUCGUUCAACUUUACUGAAGUGAAAAGUGAUGAGGUUUAGUUUUCGUUUCCCCCACUCAGUGAUGAGGUCUAAAAGUGUCCUUUUACCGGUUUUAUUUUUACUUUAUGCUUACUUGUCCUCACAAUUUCAGAUUUGUCAGUCUAAUACCAAUUGAGUGGUACAAAUCACUGUACCAUUUUGAAGAGGCUUCGGUCCAGUUAAUAUACUGUCGAUCUUGAAAGAAUAAUAAUUAUGUAAAUUUUAUUAUAUAUAUAUAUAUAUCAUAAAUUUAACGAUAAUAAUAAUAGGUUACAUAAGCAAAUAAGUCACUAUUAUUAUUUUCUGGUGAAACCUUAAAUAUACUGUCGAUCUUUUGUUUUUUGCCCUUUUCUCUAGCUAAUUUCUUAGAAUAUUCGUAUAAAAAAAAUCCGUCAAAUGAAGCUCUGACACGCUCUAUUUCUCAUUCUAUACGUCAGCACGGCAGCAAAAAUAAAUUUUCCAUCCGCAGUCUGACAGCAUAAAAUUCAGCAGGGUCAAAGGGAUCAGUCGCAGCCUUGCUGACUGUGCACGGCUGCCUGACGCAGAUGUCUGCCGACUGACUUCUGGAAAAAAAAACCUAGGGGUUUGGUUUUUAAAGUUAGGUUGUUCAAUCCAACAGGCAACCCCUUUUUUUCGAGUCAAACGGCUGUCUGAUAAUGCAAUCUUGCCCUCUAGGGGUUCUCCUCUUUCCGCUGGCUAUGAUCUCUCCAGGUAAUAGCUAUUGAUCUCCUUCAGUUUUUGCAAGAGCAAUGAUCGAUUCUUAAUCAGGAAAAUAAUUUCUAAAAGAUUUUUGAGGUGCUUGUUAUUUUGUUUUGGCAGCGCUGCUGACACAAAGGUGCCUGCCCGAGGGAAGGCUUUGAUUCCUACUGAUUUGAGCAUCGCCAUUCCUCAAGGAACCUAUAUGUUUUUAAUAUAUACUAGGAGGGGAUCACCGCACAAGUGCGCGGUGAACAAUUUUAAAAUUUACAUGCCCAGUUAUGCCCUGUUUAUAUAAUGCCUGAAACGUAACUAAGAAUCCAGAAAUGGAAAGAGACAUCAUUGAAAAGCACAACAAUAUGCAUAAUAGAUAUACAUUGUAGAAAUAUAUAGUGAAUUGUUCAUAAAACAUAUAGGACAAAACAAAUCAAAGUCUAACCAUCAUCUAUUAGCAAAGUAGAAUGAUUAUAAUCUCAGUUGUGAAUGUUGAGAAUGUUUAAGUUCACAUUGUUGAUAAUAACAGUGAUGAAAGGUCCAAAGGGUUCAAGGCUGAUUAAGUUGUACAAGUUUCAAGUGGUCCGAUUACAAGAGCUCGUGCAAAAAAAACUUACAGAUUCACUACAGUCACUUGUUUGCGCAAUUCAAGAUCGAAUUGGUUAUGACACAAGGACUAUUGAAGGCUUUCAACUUGAAGAGCUUCCAUGUGUCACUUUGCUUGUCACGCAUGAAGAGUUAGAAGCAAACUACUUAAAUAGUUGUUUUGUUAGUUAGUUAAUGUUAUUUGAUUAGUAGUAUUAGUUAGGAUUUUAAUUGUCAAUCUAAUUGCUGUUUUAAUGGUUUAAUUAUUUAGUAAUCUUCGGCCAAAUUAGUCUUCAAAGAAGGCCGAAUCUUAGUUGAUUUCUUAGCCAAAUAAAUGAUCACACAUCACAUUGAGUUUUCAAGUCAUAUAAGGCUAUAAAUAACCUAAUUUUUCCAUCGUUAAUAAUCAGAUUUUUCCAACAAUAAACGUGAGUUUUAUCAUCUUUCUCUUGUCUAAAAGAGCCUUUCUUGAAUACUUAAAGAGUUUCUUGAGAAGAUUCAAAUCAAACUUAUUAAUCAAGUAGACAUCAUGAUUGUGGCGUUCCUUUACAAACAGUUUUGGUUCGCUAAAUUAUUAAGUUGUGGGUUAAGAAAUAUUGUUAGUUCAUAACUUCGUGAUUUAGAGGGGUCAAGAGUUCUGCAAAUCAACUUGAUUCUUCGUCUAGAUCCAAGGAUUGGAGGGAUACGAGUUCAUACCUUCGAGUGGGUUAGUAACAAAAAGUCUCAUCCAUAGAGUAUGAAGUUAUUAUCUCAUAGGCUGCAUAUCAGAUGGAUCCAAAUCUAGGUGGUCUAAUAUAGAACAUAUACAUCUUUCCAUGCAAAGUACGUGUGAGAUAUCGAGUAAUAUCAAUCAUAUGUUUCAAAAAAAAUGAAGAAAUAUUAUAAACUAACAAACAAAAGGGAAAAAAUAUUGUUGCAAUUGUAAAAGAUUUUAAACCAUAAAAAGUUGCAUUUACAAUUUGUCUAACAGUGUAAAUUUUGACAUUUGUUCAUAGUCAAGAAAUUCAUAAUAAAUAAAAAAAUUAGUCUUAUAGAAUCUCGAAACAUGAGCUUGAACUUCCAUGAUUCCAAUAAAUAGAUAUUUUAACUCAACCAAAAACAAAAACUUUCUGCCAUUCGCACUCAUCCAAGAACUGUAAUGAGUAGCUUUCGAAAGAAACUGGUGAAAAACCUACCAAGUAUUAUAACAAAAAAGAAAGUAAGAUAUAAUCCAUUGAAAUUAGUUUACUACUGUAACACCAAGUUAAAAACAAAUCAAGGGACUUGAAUGAUGCCAACAAGGACAUGACAGAUUCAACAAACAUCUGCAUUUUUGGUUACUAACAGUUUAAUGCAAAUUUUGUUACCCCUUGUAUUUUUCAACACAUUACACAAACAAGGAACUUUUUUUUUUUUUUUUUGGAUACAGUUGUUGCCAAAGUCGAGAGAUGAAAAGAUUCUUACAGGUAACCUAAAGUAUCUUGAUUGGUAACUCGUGUUCUCACCAAAGUUAAAGUAUUAAAUGUGCCAGAUCCUUGGAGACGGUAUGCAAGUAAACUUUUCCACAAUUUGAUCAUGCAUCUAUGCAAUUUACACAAAAUGCCAAUGGAAGAUAUUAAAAUCAAUUUACACAACUUGAUCAUACAGCUACGCAAUUUCCACAACUUGGGAGAUGGUUCUCAUAAAAACUCAAUAUUGUCACAUGCAAAACCAAAAAAGUACAUUAUUCACAUAACUAAAUUAAAAAAAGGAAAAAGUGCAGAAAAUUUCAAAUAGUGGAAGCUAAAAGCUGAGAAAUAUGUGGAUAUCAUCAUUGAAUUUGAGGAGAAACACGUAGAUUCAACACUCGAACCAUCAAACAAGUCAUUGAAAUUUCAUUAUUCACAUGGCAAGGAACUCAGCUAUUACUCCAAAUAUCUUAAUUAAACUGAUAGCCUUUGCUGGACCAAAAGUCACUGUUAAACCUAUAAUAUAAAAUUUAAUUGAUGCACCAUAAUUUGUAUCAGGUUUCACCUUUGUACUUUCCAAUGAGGUUUUUUUUGGGAAGAAAAAAGAAGAUUAAAAACGUGUUAAAUCAUAGCAAAACAAUUACAUACUCAAAUCAGAGAUAAAGGUGAACUACAUAACAAAGAUUUUUUCACUUUCAACUAUUUAGCAAAAAAUGCGAAUACAAAAAAAAGUGUGCUUUCACUGUGGGUUUUGACAAUAUUAUCUAUCCCAGAUGUAAAUAGUCAAGUCCAUAAAUUGUUAAUUAGGCAUGCAACAAAAUAAACUGUUGAUAACUUUUAAUUUGAGCAUGUUACCUUAUGUUGUUCACUUUGAACCCAUCUCAAGUAAAAGUUCAUUAACCUCAGUGCUUCUAGAGAAUUGCCAUCACUGACUCUUUAAGCUUCACAGUAUGGAUGCAGAGGUAUAAGAGAUUUUGACUACUAACCAAAAAGAAAAAGGGAAAACUAUAGUGAUGUGAUCCAUUUCCUAAUUGGAGGUACACAAUUUAAAGUUGUUCAGGAACCUUUGGAGGGUUAUCAGAGGAGGUGUGAAACUGACCCAAUCAAUUUAAACCAGUUACGAUAAAAGAGACGGGGAGAACUGUUCAUUCUAAUUUAAAGUUGUUCAGGAACCUUAUGGAGGGUGAUCGGAACAUCCCAGAGCCUGAAUAUACACCAAAAUUUAAAGACAAGACCUUCUAUAGAGCAUUCUUGAUCCUAGUGUUGCACAGACUUCAUUUGAACACUUUCACCAGAAUUAAGGUUACAAGUACGCUUGCUCAAGAAAAAAUAGACAUGGUGUCAACACAAAGACAAUAACGCAAUGGUAUUAACGACAUUCUGUUUACCAGGAAGGAGGAUAAUCAACAAAAUAACUUCUUUUUUUGGUUACAUCUUAAUAAAUUAGCAUAGAAGUAAAAAAGUGCUAGUAAAGCACUUGCAACACAAAUAGGAUUGAUCCCUAUUCCAUACUGCAGAAAGCAAUGAAAAGCAUAAGAAAUUUUUUAUGUAGCCAAUCUAGCAUUAAUGGCAUGAGCAGGAUGAGAUACUAUAGUUGCACAAUCUGUGGCACUGAUCAUUUCCCAAGAUGCCUCACGAGUAUAUGGUGUAGCACAUAGUGUGACCUUGAAUUUUGUUUUGAAAUCUCUUACAUUAUAUUGUUUAAAUGCUUACUGUAAUUGCAUACGCACAAAAGUCAAAUAGAUCCAAAGUCAAUUUUACUUCUUCCAUUUGUAGAUGUUCAAAUCUCUUUGACAGCAAUGCCAACUGUACGGCACUAUUCACUACUCGAGAUUUACAAGGCUUUAUCUUCAAAAAUAAAUUAUCAAAUGCAGUCCUUUGAAAGUGACAUAACUCCAGCAACGCGCAUCCCCAUUUCUCCAUAAAACAAAGAUUACAAAAGAAAAAAAAACAGAAAAAUGCUUUAUUUUUCUAAUUCUUCGUAACCCAGGGGACAAAAAAAAGAAGAAACCAAAUAUAGAUACUUUAAAAAAAUGGUCAGUUAAUUUCUCGUGACGACUAAACACGUACAAAACAUGUAAUUUAACAUUACCAAAAGCCAUCAUUAUGAACAUGUUAUCUUCUAAUUACCAUAAAGAGAGAAAAAAAGGAGGAGAAUGAAUUUCUACCUAAAUAACACUAAGUGAGUAAUGCAUGAUUUUUUCUUUCAUGCUUUUGGGUUGUGAAGUAGUAAAAAAAAAGGCACCCAAUAGAUUUUCCUGACUAACCAGACUUUUUUAUACUGAAGAAAAAAAGCACUACUAUUUUUUUAUAAAAAAAAUCAUCAAAUACCAUAAUUACUUCUCUAUUAAGACUAGAGAUGUAAUCGAACCAAGUCAAACUCGAGUAUUGCUAUACUCGAGCUCGACUCGACUCAUAUAUACCUAGGUUCGAGCUCGACUCGAGUUCGACCGAGUACAAAAAAUCGAUACUCGAAACUUGACUCGAGAAACUCGCUUUAAGCUCGAGACUCGACUCGAUAAGGCUCGACCUUUAGUCAAGCCUUAUCAAGUCGAGCCUAAUCAAGUUUUUUGACUCGACUCGACCAAUCUUCACUCUUUUAGACAUUUUUUCUUUUUAGGUCUUUUUACAAUUAUGUUAUUACUUUUUUGCCAUUAUGAAAUUUUAUUAUAAAGAAGAGUUUAUUGUAAAUUCCGUAAAACUUAUACCCAUAAUGGUCAUUUUAUAAUUAUAACACAUAUAUAUUAUUUAAAUUAUAAAUAUAUUAUUUAAAUACCUCUGGCUCGACGAGUAGCUCGACAAGUCUCGAACCUCAAAAUAUUGGUUCGAAAUUCGACUCGAAUGACAAUUGAGUAGCUCGAGACUCAGCUCGAACUCGGUCAACCCGAGUUCAAGCCAAGCCGUUGACCGAGCUACUCGCGAGCUACUCGAUUAUGACUCGCCUCGCUUACAUCCCUAAUUAAGACAUAGAGGCUUGCAAGACCUCCCAAAUACUUAGAUAUUUAGUUAAACAUUUCAUUCUAAACUUCAUAUAGUUUCUACACCUGACCACAAAUUUCUCAAAAAUUUAAAGCACACCGACAAAAGCUCAUCAGAGUCACUAUGUGAAUUGUACCAAAGAAACAAGCAAUUUCUCUAGCAUAUAGUUUAAAGCAAAAGGAAAAAAGCUAAAGCUUUGUCAUAAGUACAACAUCAUAUGAUGAAUGAGUUAUAACUAUAAACCAAAGUAGCACACCUGAGAAUUUUUGGUAUAGCUCUGUAGAGAUUGCUUCAAACGUGAAAACAACCAAUAAGAACAUCAGAAAUUGUCAUUAUUUGAAAAUUAUUAUACAUACGGAAAAAAAGGAAUCAGUGAUCAAAUCUUUUUAAUUAAAUUAAGCAGUAAUUAUGGUAGCUUAAAAUAAGGCUCAGGUUUGUCAGCAAAAAUCAGGCAGAGAUGAGAGUACCGCCAUGGCUGCAGACCCAUUGCAUUUGAAGGGAAGAAUGAACCUCAAAUGCAAUCAGGGUUGCCUUGCCAAGAUACGGCAAUCAAUUUAAAGCCUGAAAUACAUCUAAUGAAACCAAAACCAUAUCAUCAUAGCCUAACCGAGAACAAAAUAAAUUAGCCGAUUUACAACUUUCAUCUGCCAUAAUACUCUAGCUAGAAAGCUGCACCCUUUUCCAAAAAAAAAUCACCAUACAUCUUUGUAAAAAUCUAACCAGAAACAAAAGGAAACAUGAAUAAAUAUUCAAAUCCAAGGAAAAAUUAAGAGAAGAUUACUCAUGAAUAGACACAUUUAUUCAAAAACAUGUAUAAAGUACUUCUCAAAGCAGUUUACAAGUUCUACAAUCAUCAAUCUAACUAAAAUAGAGCUCAUGGAAUUAAAAAGAUAAGAAUACAUACAUAAAAAAAUUAGCAAACCUACUCAAUCAACGAGAACGUAGCACAACAAAAGCACCAAAAAGUUUCCUAAAAAGAAAAACAUAUGUAUUAAAAACAAGCAAAUUUAACAAUAAGCAUAAUAUCAAUCUAAAUAUUCCACAACAAGAGAAAAAUCAUGCCAUUCAAAAACUGUAAAAAUUGCUCACUGUAAGAAUUAACAACAAUAUGGAGAAUAGCAUAGAUAAAGCAGAAAUAGCUGAUUUUAGUUAUAUCAGGUCUAAUAAAAAGAAAGAAAAAAAAGUUGACGAUAGAAAGUGCUGGAAAAACAAUAAAAUUUUGAACAGAUCUGCAAUGUAUCUGGAAAAAAAAAGAUAAUUGCUUGAAACCAGCACCAACAGAAAUCGAUAAUGUUAUUUUCUUGACAGUCAUAGUCCAUCCAGACAGAAAGCAUAUGAAAAAGAAAUUUUUUGGAAUAAAUCGGCAAGUACUUGGAAAAAAAGAGAGGAAUAAAAGUUUGAGUGUCCGGAUAAUUUUUUACCGAGAAAUAGAGAAUAACGGAGAGGAGAAGAUCAUGGACGAGGUGUACAGCAGCCGUAGUGGUCCGAAAAGAAAAGUUUUGGAACAGAUCGGUAAGUACCUGGGAAAAAAGAGAGAAACAAAAUGCCGUGUCCGGAUAAUUUUUUUACCGAGAAACAAAGAAUAACGGAGAGGAGAAGAUCAUCGACAAGGGGUACAAUAGCCGUAUUGGUCCGGUGGUUUGGGUAUGAGAGGAGAAAGCAGCGAUGAAAGAGAAACACUUGAUGGGAAACGGGAGACACUUGAUGGGAAUAGGUAUCUCGAGCCCACCCCAUCUGUUGUUCCAACCAAGAAACGAUAUCUGCAAAAGGCGCCACCAGAAACAUAGGAACCUCUGCAUACAUCGUAGAAACAAAGAGUUCUCAGUCAUUUCAAUCAAAGGAAAGAGCAAAAAGGCGGUUUUCGGCAGCUCUCUAUAGCAGACCUGAAAUUUCUCUCACCAAAGCACAGAGGCAAGCAAGAAGCUCAGCAAUACACAACGUUGCAUUUGAUUUUAAAAGAAGGGCAAAUCCGUAAAAUCAUGCCAACCCACAUUGAGCCCAUCACCAACACUUGUCAUCAAUCAAACCAUCACCAACCGUCAAAAGCUUACUCACAUGGUCAUCUGUUGACCAGAGAAAUGGUGCUUGCUGGAAACAAAUUUAGUGAAAAGCAAAGGGCCUUAUUCUCGGACAACAACAACAAAAAAACUCUCCAAUAUUUCUCUAGCUGGGCACGUGAUUUUGGCAUGAGGAGGACGACCACAUUUGAACCAAUGAGAGCUUGACACAUCAACAGACAACCACUCUUUUGCCAAAACUCAUUCGUGCUUGUACUAUAUAGGUAGAUAACAAUAUACAAAAAUAUAUGUUUUGUAUAUUGUUAUAUAUAUUAAAAAAAUAUAUUAAUAUGUAUGUAUAUUGAUAUAUAAAUUUAUAUAAAUAAAUAUAUUAAAUAUAUAUUAAUAUACAUACAUAUUAUAAAACAAAAUUGAAAUAAAAAAUAUUAUAUAUAUAAAAAAAUAAAUAUUAAUAAAUAGAAACAGAGCCAGUAUAUAUUUUUAAAAAAUCCCAAAAAAAUUAUUAAUUAUAAAAAUACUCGAAAAUAUAUUUUAAAAAUACCUCUAAAAACAAUCCAAAAAAUAUCUACAGUAAAAGUUUUUCAUAUACACAGUUACAGUAAAGUUUUUAUAAAACACCUCCAAAAACAGUUAAUUCAAAUAGAGCAAAAGAAAGGGAAAAAUGUUAAAUGAUAAAAGUUGGAUAAAUUACUUUAAACAAAAAAAAUAAAUAGCAAAUGUGAAGAUUGUGCAAAUAUAGCACACUAUUAUUAAGAUGAAGCACUCAAAGAAACCUAGGUGACAAUAAGGCAACCCUACAGUCGGUUGCCUUAUUUUAAUUGGGCCCCAAUUGACAUGUGAAAGAUGUCCACCUGAGUUGUCUUGUUAAUACUUCAUCUGCCCACGGUAGAGAGUUCACUGUACUUUCCACACUAGAAGCAACCUAACUUUAAAAACCAAACCCCUAGCUUUUUUUUUCCCGAAGUACCAAGGGGUGAGAAGUGUCAGCCGCAGCCGUGCUGACUGUGCACGGAUGCAAGGGGACCCCUGCUGAAUUUUAUGCUGUCAGACUGCGGAUGGAAAUUUUAUUUUUGCUGCCGUGCUGAGUCUAGAAUGAGAAAUAAAGUGUGUCAGAACUUUAUUUGGCGGAUGUUUUUUUUUUAUACGAAUAUUCUAAGAAAUUAGCCCUUUUCGCUUGACCCCUCUUGCCGUGCGAAUGCUACUGGUUUAUAAAAGGUUACAGAAGCACAUACGUCAUUGUUAUUUUCUCUUGAAACCUUAAACUGCCUUCAGUAGUCCAUAAGAUACAAUAUCUAACAAAAAUCCGCCUGCAAAGAAAUUUGCCUGGAUCCUCCUCAGAACUCCUCAAAUCUCGUCUCAAUGGAAUCUCAGAAAGGUUUAUAUUUGAUUUAACUAAAAGUAUGUCCAGCAAACACUUUUCUUAAAUAGUCUGUUGAUGAAGGGUAAAUUUCUUGGAAUAUUUUGAUUAAAGAAAAACAAAAGGUAGGUUGGAAAAAUAUGAUCCUGUAGAGGUGCUUUUCUUGUUAUAUGCCCGUUGAAUCCACUGGACACGACUGGCAUUUUUUUUAAUCUAAAAUACGGAAUAUGCUGGCCGGUUAUCUAUUUUGUAGCAGGGACCAAUUUAUAAAUAAGGUUCUUUUUUUUUUCUUUUUUUUUGCCUUUUGAGCGAACUGAUAUGAUCAGAAUACAUGAUAGUGCUGGAAACAACUUUUUAUUUCAUCCCCAAGCUAAGUAAAAUCUUUUCAGGUGCUGCCGUCGAGUUCUUUUGAAAAUCACAUAACAAGUCAUGUAGAUUUUAAGUUAUUGUACAAUUAGGUUUAAUCAUAUAUUAGUAAAUACAAAUUUGAUUUAUAUUUACAUAAAGGAAAAUAGUUGUGACACAAUUCUAAUACGAUACUUUCUUACGAGCAAGAAAGUUUUUAAUGAUUUUCAAUUUUUUUCCUACCUGGAGAAAACAAAAGUCUAAACUUGAAAUAUAAUUAGAAUAGAGAAAUACAAAAAUUAGAGAUCAUAUAGAGUAAUUAUGAUUCAACUGCAUACAAAAUGGUAAUUAUCUUAUAAUAGGAAAUUUUUUAAAAAUCAUGAGAAGGGGGGCAACGGACUUCAAUCCAAGACCUCUAAUUCUUGAUACUUCAACAUUUGUCAUAGACCGAGGAUUUGAUAACAGAGAUGUAACAAAAUCAACACUAAGAAAUGACCCAUACACAACGAUUUAGAGUAAAAUAUACAGUAAACUUCUAUAAAUUAAUAUCUUCUAUUAAAUAAUAAUUUUUUUUCAUCUCGACUUGGAAUAACAAGUUAAAUUAAUAAUUUUGAUGAAAUAAUAAGAUAAUAUAUAUUUUUUGAAAACUUCAUCUAACCUUUUGGUCCUAUUCAUAUCAUAAAUUAAUAAUUCAUCAAAAUUACAUUUCGUCUAUUAUUUUUUAAAAAUUUUAAAUUUACUUAAAUCUCAUCCUUAGUUUUAUAUUCAUUAAACUUUUAACCUUCUUUUAUUAAUAAAUUAAUUCAUUUUUUAUAAAAUAAAAUAAAGCUUUAGCUGAUUAAAUGAGUAUUUCUUUGGAUUUGUAAGUACACUCAACAAAUUAAUAAAUUAUUAAUUUAUUGAUUAAUUAAUAAUACUUUUUAAAUUAAUAGAAUUUGUAAGGUCCCAAAAUUAUUUUAAUUUAUACAGAUUUUACUGUAGUAGUUAAAAGAACUCUUGGGCGUCUGUCGUGAGCAAGUUUGUUUUUAUAGGUCGAAAGAGGUAUACCGAUUGGCUAUAAAAUGUAGUAAAUGGUAUAAAUUAAGUUGGUAUUAUACAUAGAAAAAUGGUAGCUUUAUGCAUCUAGAGUCAAUCAAGUAGCAAAUUGAAGAAUAUAAAGCGAGGAGCAACAAAAUGGACUAUGCGUCUUAUGUUUUUUGUUUGCUUUAAUUAACUUUAAAUUGCAUACGGACUUACUGAGAAUGAAGGCUGAAAAGGUUGUUGAAGGGUUUUAAAGGUUUGCCACUAUAAGAGUUUGGGAGAAGAAACAAGCGAGAUUCAGUUUGCUCAAAAAAACAAAAAAGGAGGGUAAAAAAAAUAUUCUUCAUUUAUAAAUUGGUCCAUUGACCUUAAAAUAAAUAAAAGCAAAUUAUUUGGAUAGUCACUAAACUUUUUAAAUAAUAGUUGAGUUUUAGUCACUUAACUAUUAAUAGUAUAUUUUUACACACUAAACUAUUAAAAAUAUAAAUUUUGAAUCAUUCCAUCUGAUUCCACCAUUAAUUUUGACAAAUCCAAAUAUUAAUAGUAUAUCUGAUAAGUUAUGUGAAUUUUUAGAUCGGACAGAAUUAACAGUUGAAUCAAAUGAAACAGCACAAAAUUUACACAUUUAAUAUUUCAGUGGGCAAGAAUAUAUUAUUAAUUGUUAAGUGAUCAAAUCUUGACUAUUUAAAAAUCUAGUAGUUACCCUGGUAAUUUGCUCAAAUAAAUGUCUUCCCAAGGAAAUAGGUGGAAAGUAGAGGUGGCAAAAUGGGCGAGAUGGGCGGGAUUUGCUUGGAUUUGAGAUGGAACCGAGUCAUAUGGGUUUGGGCCCAACCUUACCCAUAUGUGUUUUGGGACUAACUUGGGCGGGAUCAUUUUGGGAUGGGUUUAGAUUGAUCCCGCCCAAUACCCAAAUCCAUUUUCUACAUAUUUUUUUUCCUUUAAUUCAUUUUUUUUAAUAUAAUUUUAAUAUUUUUGAUUUAUUAAAUUUCUUUUAGUUUUAUUAAAUAAACAUGCAAGUGCUUUAUACUCAAGAUUCCCACCAAAAAUUGGAUUAACAAAUAAAGGAAAAGAUAGAUAUACAGCCAUAUUCCAACAUAUAUCAAGAUGGCCAAGGUCCUUAGGAUGUUGAAUAUUUAUCCUUAUCAUUGUCCAAGGAUGACAAGUCUAAACUAACUGAAAUGCUGGAAAUUCUUGUGGAUAAUGACUAGGAAGACUACUAGAUUAUAUUCGCUGGUAUGACUAUAAAAAUUGUUAAAGAUAAUUUUUGAAUCUAAGAUUCCGUUUGGAUUGACUUUUUUUUCAAAAAAUAAGUUUUUCAAAUACAAUGUUACAGUAAUAUACAAUAACUCAAGAAACAUCCCAUCCAUAUUAAUAUAUCAAAUAUUUCAAAAAAAUUUUAUAGUAAAAAUUUUUCAUAUACACUGCUAUAAUAAAAUAUUUCAAAAACACCUACCAAAAACAGCUAAUCCAAACGGAGCCCUUGCCAUUUGAGCCCAAUGGGUACCCAAGUAUUUCCCAUCCUUUCCCAUUCAUUAAUGGGUAUAGUUGGGAUGUGUCCCAACUUAAACCCAAUACCAAAUUAUAAUACCCAUCCCGCCCAAAGUUCCUUUGGGCAUGGGUAGCCCAUUGGGACUUGGGACAAAUUGCCAGCUCUAGUGGAAAGGUUUCACAAGAAAGUAGAAGAGAUGUCAACAACAGCAAAAUAUCAGGCAGCUUAUGGAAGCAGUUAAUUCCUUUAAAUACUCACUAAACUAGGUACUAGAGAGACUUUCCUUCAGCAUUCCAUCAUUCUCUGGCUUUAACUACAUUAAAACCUUUGUAUGUGUCUUUCCAAAAACUAUAAAAGACCCUAUUUGAGUCAAACAAACCACAAAAGUGAAGUUUGAAAUUUGAAGAAAGAGCAGUAGAUUUAUGAGACAAAAGUGAAGUUUGAAGAAAAAGCAGUAGAUCUAAAAAGUUAACAAAACAAAAUUUAAACUCGUUGCAUCACCAGAUGCACACAGACCUACACAUUUGCUGCCAAAGAAUUAAACAAUAAUCGGUAUAAGUCACGAAAGAAUUGACAAUGCAUAUAUAUCAGCCAAUUAAUGAUACUAUGUUAAGUACUGAAUGACACCCUGCGACUUACCUAAUUGGAUUUCCUGGUGAAUACAGUCGAUUCUUGACAACAUACUCGACAUACAAGUUGUAUAUGUGCUUGAGGGAUUCCCUUCAAUCACCUGUCCUAGGAUGAGUUACCAGGAUGAUCUGUAAAACCAAUAAAUACAUGGGGAAGAAGAGGUUUUUCAUGUUCACAAGAGAGAGUUUUUCAACUUGUCAUGGAAAAAAGUUAUGCUAACUGCCAGCAAGUGAUAGUCAGACAACAGAUAAAUGUCUUGAUACUCUUGCUACAUAGCCAUCUAUAUGAAUGCAAGCAUAUAUACUCAUGCAAUCAUCUGGACAGACCUUAAUCCCAGAUGGACUCUCCAUGAAACUAAGUUAGUAGGUAUUAGUGCGGAAGCUGUGAAACGAACAUCCCUGCCCAGGUAAUUGUGGGACUCCAAGAUUUCCUUUAUCAGCGCUGCCAAAGAGAUCAAACAAUAAUGUAAGAAAGUCACUCUUAUUAGUAUGUCUUCAAAGAUAUGAUUAAGAAACAUUUUUAUACCAGGACAAUAAUGAGAUGCAAAACCAGUCUUCAGGAUUACUUUCAAUUUGACCAAAUAAUGGCCAAUCCUUUCUGGUAAAAAUUCUCACAUCACACCAUCAAGCUGCUACUGUGGGUGGUCAUUUAAAGUGCACAUAUAUUGACUCAUGAACUUCUUUAUAUACAUCAACAAAUGUACAUAUGUUUUACCACCAGUAUACUCUUCAAUCACUCUUCUUUUAUCAAAAGACUAACACGAUUACAAAAGAAUACCCAAACUUUAGAAAUGCCUAUCAAAGUACUUCUGAUCAUGAGGCAGAUUAUUAUCUCUCUCCUUAGGCAUGAACCUCGUAUUAAACUGCCUUGACAAUAGCCUGACAGUCUGGUUGGAGAAACGGAUCAUCUUUUUUGGAAUUAAAAAGCUAGAAAAGAAAAAUUGUAAUGCUAAUGCACGUUAUGGAGGCCAAAUUGAUUAUCAGACAACUGGGCGGGGUGGGAAUUGGAAUUAACCAAUACGUAAGUUGAAUCAAGCGUCAAGUGGAAUAACAAAAGAAAAGGGUCGUCUAAUUAUUAGAAAAGAAAAAAUAAUUCCAAAAUUAUGUGAUCCAAAGAAGGAGAAAACGGACCUAGUUGGAUCAAUUUUGGCAGUCAAGGAUUUAAGAGAGAAGAGGAGACCGAACAUGAGCUUGUGAUCCUGCUGGGGGCUGAGAGUCUUAAGUGGCCGAUUCCAUUCCCUGUACAGCAGACAUACUCCAUUCCUGUUGAACACGUAUAGCAUGUGGGCGUUAUUCCCCGCUGCAGUCGGGACCGGUGGCGAUGGACUGAUCUCGGAUCCUCCGAAAAAUUGCAUGCUUUGGGAGAUACCAUUUUUUUUUUUUUUUUAAUCCUUGGGCGAUACUUGUGGAGUUGAGCAACAGGGGGAUGGGAGGAACCAGGGUGAGCAGCGACAGCUAGGGGCCGGGGAAGGGUAGUGGACAAUGGCUUGGCUUGGCUUGGCUUGCUGGCUGGUUAGAGAGGAGCGGAGGGGAUCGGGCUAUAAGGCUACUAGCAGUAAAUUUUACUACUGCUAAACUUUUUUAUGUUUUGCUUUUCAAGUUUGGGAUUAAAUUUGGGAAUCAUGGUUCCUAAAAACCUACCAAUCAUCAUUCCUCCCUUUCGUUUUUUCCUUUUGGUGGAGAGAAUGAAAACCUCCCAGUCUAUGCGGGUACAGACUACAGAGUUUUGAUGAAUCUUUAAAUUUCUUUCCAAAAAUCUCAUACCCACAUGGCCAUACCCUGUUGCCAAAACUUAAUUUCCAUGCCUUUUGCUUGACUAGUGUUUAAUUGAUUCAAAUCUCAACCCCUCUAUAUUUUGUUUUCCUGGAGUCCUCAAACCAAAAAAACAACAACAAUAAUAAUAAUAAUAAUAACAACAACAACAACUGCUGCUGCUGCUACUACUACUAGUUUUAUUCACAAUCACACUAAUGUUUGAGGCAAACUUGUUGCGUGCACAACUAACAAAAAAAAUUAUAUACAAUUUUUUAAAUAUUUGUUAAAGUCAUUCUUAUGAGGCAAUUUUAUAUUUUUUAUAAUACCUACGGUGAAAAAUUUACCAAAAUAAACUAUGCAAAAUGUAAAUAGAUAGUUGUUUGGUAGUGGGUAAUAAUCAAAAAAAGAGAAAGAGGGAGCUAGCGGAUAGUUAGUUAUAAAAAGUACUAAUUUAGAACUAUCACAAAGUGACAGGUUUUAGUUUACACAAAAAAACCUCCUCUUUUUUGUAUAUGGUACAUAGAUAAUUAUUACUGUUUUUAUAAACACUCUAACUUACCAAUAUGUUCAAAUGCCAUAGUUAUAAAACUUAACAUGCCUCAACGGUUAAACUGGUCAACUCGGUGAACGGAUCAUAGGAUCGAGUUGGAUUGUUAAUCAAACCUAUUAACCCGUCAAUGAUCCGACGUUUCAAUUGGUGAAUCGAAAAAAAAAUCGUCAAUUAAGUUGCCGUCUAACCACCAACAUAAAAUUAUAUUGUAUUUAUAAUUUAAAAUGUAUUAUAAUAUUACAUAAUAUAACUAUUAUGCAACCCACAACUCGAUCACCUCUCCGGAUUGAGCUCCUAACCAUUUGAAUUCCUUGUUUUUGCUUCUGUUUUUGAACAACUGUUUUUCACAUUCCAAAUGCUACAGUAAAUGUGUAUUUCCAAAAUAACUCCAAACACACCAUAUCCAAACAUUAUAUCAAAAACAACUCCAUUUGUAUAUUUCAAUUAUGUAUAUUAUAUAUAUUAUAUUAAUAUAAUUGAAAUAUACAAAUUGAAAAUAAUAUAUUUAUAUAUUUAUAUAUUAUAUAAAUAUUUAUAUACAUUAAUAUUAUACAUAAUAUAAUAUAAUACACAUAAUAUAAUAUACAUAAUAUGUAAUAUUGUAUACAUAAAUGUAUAAAUAUUUAUACAUAAUAUAUUAUGUACAUUAUAUUAUAAUAUAUAUAUUUAUAAAUUAUAAAUUAUAUAAAUAUUUAUAUAAUGAAAUAUACAAUAAAUAUUACAAAUUGAAAUAUUAUAUAAACACCAUAUUUAUAAUAUUAUAAUAUUUAUAAUUAAUAUUAAUGUAUAUUAUAUAUAUUAAAUAUUUAUUUAUUUAUACAUAUUAUAAAUAUUUUAUUUUAUUUAAAAAAUAUUUUUAUAUAUUUAUAAUAUAUUUAUAUAAAUAUUAUAUAUUAUAUAAAUUAUAAAUUAUAUAUUAUAUAUUAUACAUUUAUAUAAAUGUACAUUUAUACAUAAUAUAUAUUAAUGUAUAUUUAUAAUAUACAUUUAUAUUAUGUAUUAUAUAUAAUAUAAUACAUUUAUAUUAAUAUACAUAAUAUUAAUUUUAGAUUUAUACAUAAUAUUAAUACAUUUAUACAUUUAUAUUAAUUAUAUUAAUACAUUUAUACACAAUAUUAAUAUAUAUUUAUAAUAUAUUAAUUUAUACAUUUAUAUAAUAUUCAUUUAUAAUUUAUACAUUUAUAAUAAUAUACACUUAUACAUUUAUAAAUAUAUUUAUAUUAUGUAUUAUAUAUAAUAUAAUACAUUUAUAAUGCAUUUAUAUAUUUUUAUAUAAAUAUAUAAAUAUAUUUAUUUAUAAAUGUAUUAUAAAUGCAUAAAUGUAUAUUUAUAUAAAAAUAUAAAAAUUAUAAAUUAUACAUUUAUACAUUUAUAUAAUAUUCAUUUAUAAUUUAUACAUUUAUAAUAAUAUACAUUUAUAAAUAUAUUUAUAUUAUGUAUUAUAUAUUAUAUAAUACAUUUAUAUAUUUUUAUAUAAAUAUAUUUAUUUAUAAAUGUAUUAUAAAUGCAUAAAUGUAUAUAAAUAUAAAAUUAUAAAAAUUAUAAAUUAUAAAAAUACUCAAAAAUAUGUUUUAAAAAUACCUCUAAAAAUAAUCCAAAAAACAUCUACAGUAAAAGUUUCUCAUAUAGUUUUUGAAAAACAACCCAAAAAAUAACUAAUCCAAACGGACUUGUAUUUAAAAAACGAAAUGCUACAGUACUGUUUUUGAAAAACAGCUCCAAAAACAAUUAAUCCAAACAGAGCCUAUAGUAAUUGAGCAUAUUUUUUCCUUCUAUUUUUGGAAACUUACAAAAAGAAAAAUGGAAGUAUCAUCGCUCGAUUUAUGGCCCCGUUUGGAACAUGAGUUUUUUAGAAGUUUGUCUAAAACUUUACUGUAGUGCACUGUAGAAGUUUUUGAAAAAUUUUUUAAGAUGAAAAACUUGUUUGAAAAACCUUUUUUUUCUUUCUUUCCUUUUUCUUUUCUUUCCUCUUCUUCUUCUUCUUUUUCUUCUUCUUUCCCCCUGCCCCUUCCCUCCCCCGUUAACCUUUGCCUCCGACGAACCAGCAACCAUGGUCCUACCAUUUUUUUUCUUUCUUUUUCUCUUUCUUUCUUUCCUUUUUCUUUUCUUUCCUCUUCUUCUUCAUCUUCUUUUUCUUCUUCCUUUCCCCUGCCCCUUCCCUCCCCCAUUACCUCUGCCUCCGACGAACCAGCAGCCUUGUUCAAAAUUUUUUUUCUUUUUCUCUUCUCCUCUUCUCCCUCUCUACUCCCCUUUCCCCCUCUACUCCCCUUCACCUUCCCCCUUUCUCUCUCAAAGUCAAAGAACCAGCAGCCAUGGCGUGCACAAUUUUAUUAUUAUUAUUUUUUUACGUUUUCUCUCCCCAUCUUCUCCAUCUCCCUCGCCCCAUCUUCUCCAUCCCCCUUUUUGUGCAAUGGGUUAUUAGAUUGGGUUCGGGACUGUCGGCGAACAUUAGUUGUUGCGGGUUGCGUUGGCGGUACGUGGUUGCCGCGGGUUGCGUCGGCAGUCGUGGCUGCUGUGGGUUGCGAGGGAGAGAGAAUGGAGGAAGCGGUGGGUGGCACACGGCGAGGGUUGGACAGUGAGCGUUGGUGGCCGAGGGUUGGCGGCGACUGUUCAACGUUGGUAUGGAAGGGGGCCAGGGAGGGGAGGGGGAGAAGAGGGGGGAGAGGGGAGGGAAGGAGAGGAAGAGAGGGAGAGGAAGAGAAAGAAAGGAAGGAAAAAAAAAAGGAGGAAUGCCGGCAUCGGAAUAGGUGGCGGCGGCGAUGGCCGGCGAUGAUGGUGUGGUGGAUUGGGGUGGGGGAGAAAGAAGAAGAAAAGAGAAAGUUUUUUAUGUAUUAGAUAUUUUGAAGUGUGUAUGUUAAAAAAUUUGAUAAGUUUUUUUGAGUUCCUGUAGCAAAAGUUGUUAAAAAACUAGUAGAUAAAAAAUUUGGUAAAAAACUAAGCUUCCAAACAGGCCCUAUAAUUGCAAGGUAAAGUCAAGGUCAUGACAGCGGGGAACAUUCAUUCAGACUCGACCAAAAUAUCUGUUUUCAUCUUCUUUUAGCGUCCAUUUAGUAACAACGUGGAGAAGAAUUUGCAUCGGGAAUGGGAAGAACUCGGAAUCAAAGCGAUGCUUGUUUGUAGUCCGUAGCAAAAGAUAUCACAUAAUGGAAUAAACGUUGACACAAGCCCGACCACCUGAGAAAAGCCCAUUCUCUAAAUUUGGCCCAUUUCUGCAAAUUCGUGACUGUGAUUUUUCCAGCCCAAAAACAAUCGCUGGUUAUGUAUCGAAACCAACCAAGGCCGUAGAAGAGCCUUCUUCAACUUUGCGGCAUUUAUGAUCCAACUACGGUGACUUGUACCUUGAUGAAUGAACUGCAUUGCGGUAUUUAUUUAUUUAUUUAUCAUUCAUGUCAAACUUUUCUGUUUACUUUCUCAUUUUAUUUAAGAAAUUACUUCCUUCGAUAAGUACAAGUACUAGAUUAAUGAACAUAUAUGAGUGAUUUUCUAAUUCGAUUUGAGUUAGUAGUAUUAUCCAAAAGGACAACAAAAUCGAUUUGAAAGCUGUAAAUAAUUAAUUUGCCCGUGUUUGUGUCUACCAAUUAGUAGUACCACAUAAAGGCCCAACAACAACUCAAAAUAGCUGAACAUAGCUCAUAUGAUGGUGUUGGAGUUAGCGGCGGCAUCCGGUAUUGGAUUAGAUGGGAGUCAAAUUAUCAACUGUCUUAACUUCAUGUCUUGCUAUUACCCAAAAAAAAAAAAAAACUAUGUUUUCGGAGUCGGAGACUCAAUCGCGUUUAGGAUUAAGGGUCAAUAGAUUCGAUCGAAUUUGAUCUGGAGUUGAAUCGAAUAACAUCAUAUAUAUAUAUGUCAUAUAUAUAUAUAUAUAUAUAUACCCAUUGUGACAGCCCCACAUUCCCCUAAGGCGAACCAAAGGGGUUAGCGGACUGCCUGCCCAACUCUCGCCAGAACUAACGGUUCAGUUUAAAGCGAUCUAAUACGUUCCGAAAUAUACAAACGCGCGAAAACAAGUCAAAAUUACAAAAUAAAAAAAAAUGAACAUGGAGUCGGCCAUGAAUAGUAACCGACACGUCAAAAUCCAACCAAGCAUCAAUCAAAUAUAUGUACAUCUUGAAAUUAAGCAUAUACAAUCCAAAGUGGCAUACAAAAGUAUUCAAAAGUUGAUACAUAUACGGUUUGCCAAAUCAAAAGAGAAACGGACCUAAAAGUACAUUUAGGAUUUCAAUCAAUGAACUAUACAAAAGAUAUGUCCAUCUAACUCAAUUCGGCAACCAACUAUCAAAUCCAAUCCAAAAAGAUUUAUUUUCCUGUAAGGAAAACAAAAGGAACAGAAAGGGGUGAGCUUGCGCUCAAUGAGGUACCAGACAUAUAGCAGUAAAAUCAUGGCAUUUCACAUUUAACAAAGCAGGUACACCUACCAGAUGUAAAGUAAAGGAACCAAUGAUUUAAAUAGGAAGGAUACAGGUGACUCUCAGGAGCCAAAUUCCCAUUUGCGUCACCGAAACUCGAUCGAAAUAAUAGUUGACACUCCGUCAACGCUAAAGGAGUAACCAAUACCGUAGACUCCACUUUCCCCGAUUCCUUCCACCUCACAUACCCCUACUGGGCCCGAAAUCCAAUCAGAUCAGAAAUGAUAAUACUCGAAUAUACCGGAAUCAAGGGUCUCAAUACCCAAAGAUCCCAAAACAGACUACCGUGGUUCGUUAUCUAAAUGACCAGGCCCUUGCCGGCCCGACUCGAGUAACUGGCCACAGGUGUUGAGCUCAGAGGUCACAGAAAGGUCGUUGGAUACCAGUUUCCAAACGACAUCAGAACAGAUACAGAUAACAGAUUCAGAUUCCCACCAAAAUUUGGCAUAUGAACAGACAAGAGAACGAGUGUGAUAAAGUACACCCUCGUCUCAAUCAAAAUAACCAGAUAGUUCAGUAAUUCAUAUCACAGAUUGCAUGUACAGAAAUCGAGUUAAACAACAAGUGAGGGGGAGUGGUACACUCACCGGUUCAAGUACGGAUACUUCACAAAUUUUCACUUCAGAUUGGCUUUAAUCGCCAAGAAACCCUAAAAGAAUCAAAGUAAAACAAUUGAAGGUUCUACUUCCAAAAUCGAGUAUACAGAAUGCACAUGUGAGACUCGACUACACGUCGUACGCCUUUCCAUGGUAAGUACUAGUACAAAAGAAUAAAAUAUGACUUUCAAAAGGCAACUCAAACCUAAAGAGACUAAGCGGACUAGAAAAUUGGACAGCAUUUCUCCUACAUUUGUUUACUUUUUCAGCCGUCAUGGCUUCAUUAUUUUCCUCAACCAGUCCCAAAGUCAUACACAAAAUAAGUUCAUCCAAUAGCCGUUCAGUAAGUUCCAAGUAGUACAAGUACAAUUCAAGUUAGGAAAAAGUCCGGAAAUGAAAAUCAAGCCCUAAAAUAUUCAAAUAAGCACAAUAAGACUCGAUUACAAGUCAUAAACCAAUGCCAAAUACCACUAAAAUAAGGUUCCACUAGAAUGCAUAAACACUAGGGUAAACCAGGAAAAUCCGGAAAUGGAAUAAAUUCUAACAAAAAAAAAACAGUUUUUGACAUCAUUUUGCAGUUUUGGCACCAUUGACACUACACUUAUCGGAUGGAGGUGAAAGAUACACCGUUUCAAAGCUAAGAGAUAGGGCUACAAUGUUCAAGAAGACUACUCUGCCCAGUUUCGAGUGUAACCAGGUAAAAAAUGCAAGAUACGAAACCAGAACCGCAAAAACAGGUUCACAAACCGCAUUCUGGUUCAAACAUCAUAAGUCAGGCUACCUAAGUCCAAAUCAAGUGAUUCCAAAGCCAUCCGAAAGCUAAGAUACAUGGCUACAAUCCAUCAGAAGAUCUCAACAACCAAUUCCGAAGUAUUCCCAACCAAAAUAACCAAUUACAGACGCAAUUAUCAAAUUCGGGUAGAACCAGAGCAGCAGGGGUAUUUCAAUCUUUUCUCAAGUUACGUUACUCCGAUUGACCUGAAAUUUUGCUGGCAUCUCUAAAAUAUCAUUCCCUACAACUUUCAUGUUUUAACCCAAGGCCAAUUCGGUCUCUAACUAUGAGAUACAGUGCCGGGCAGAAUGUAGGACAUGAAAUCCUAGUUUUCCAAUUUUCCUUCCAAAACAGAUAUUUCCUGCAAUUAACCACUUUUUCACCUUCUAGCUUCCUUAAAUAUCAUUUUCAAUCAUCAUACAUGACCAUAUAAUAAUAAUCAUAUGAAAACAGAAAAAUCACCAAUAAUUAUAAAACUUCACCAAUUCAACCAAUAUCAAGAUAUAAUCCAUAAAAUUACAUCUUAAACUACCACCAAUCAUGAAUUAAACAUCAUUAGAUAGAGGAGAGGGGUUCCUUCACAACUCACCUUAGCAACACAAGAGAGAGAGCAACUAGUCACCUUAGCUUUCCAAACAACUUCACCAAUCACCUCACCAACACUAAGUGAAGAGGUUUUAUGGAACAAAAUCAAGUUUAAGUGGUUGUUUUGAUGGAUUUGAGCUAAAUGGAAGCAAGAACUUGGAGAGUUUUCUUUCUUUCUUUCUUGGAGAGGGAUUCGGCCAAGAAGCUUGCAAAAUUGAAGUAAUUUUGGUCAAUUUUUAGUUUAAAUGGUAAAGUCAUGAAUAGUGGUCCAAAAGGUCAAAAGGUAAGAAUGACUCUUCAAGUGACACUUGUCACUUCAUUUAAUACAUCUCUAUCCUUUUGUCUCUCUAAUAAUAAUCAAUCUAAAUAACUUCUAAUUAUCUCUUAAUACCUACUAAAAGAAACCCGGUAUCCAACACUUAACCUAAUUGACCGAAUUUUACCGAACUUUCCGCACUAACGAGUCCCACGUCUGGUAUACGCUCUUAAUUUCUCAAAACCUAACCGAUACUAGAAAAAUCACCUGGGAGACUUGUGGCAACUGCUCCUAGCUAGGAGCAGCAAGGGUCAGCCGCCCAAAUCCGAGACAUGAGUGAGUGCAACACUUGUUCCCAUGAUGACGCUGCUCUCAAACACUCACUGCAAUAUUGCACCGAGUUAUCUACAGAAGUCAUUUGGGAAAACAUCCAAAGUAGCGACUUAACGUUUUCGAGGAUUCAGAGGAAAGCCUCAAAACCUUAACUCAGAUUCUACUAUUUCGGAUAAAAAACUCUCGGUCAACUCUCCUCAUAAACUAAACAAUAGCAUACUGUCAUAUGUUAUACUCAAACUAUAGGGUAUUGGAAUCCAUAGGGUUGACAUUUAAAUAACAAUAAAUCCUUCCAGUAACAAAUUAAACGCACAAAAUAUAUCCAUCCAUAGGGUUAUUAGUUUAUUAUUGCAGUGAGACUGGUGCAAGAAAAUGCGGCUAAUUCCCAGCUUACUCCAGCUUCCUCCAGGAUUCUACCAAUUUGGCCAAUGCCACAAUGGAUGAGCCCCCAUCAGCCAUUGCUUGCUUUGCUUCCUCCUCCUUUGCCUGGGCUGUUUCCCUGAUCACCUUUCCUUCCUCCGAAUCCAUCAACCCCCUAACUCGCUUCUCGAUUUCAGCCGCUUUCACGAACCCACCUUCCGUACUUUCAUCCAUUGGUAAGGCCAACUUCAUCUCCUCAACUAAGAACAGCCUAUUCAGCUUCUGCCCAGCAUAAAGUGGCCACCCCACCAUAGGCACACCCGCACGGACUGCUUCCAACACUGAGUUCCACCCACAGUGGGUCACAAACCCACCCACCGACCCAUGAUUCAACACAUCCACCUGCGGUGCCCAAGAACUCACCACGAAACCCCUACCAUUUGUCCGGUCCAAAAACCCAUGGGGAAGCAACAAAUCCAGAUCUGGGGCGGGUGGAGUUUGAAAGCGGUUGGUUUUGUCCUCAGAAGGCGGACUGCGCACCACCCACAGGAACUUUUGCUCGCUCCUCUCCAACCCGAUGACUAUCUCUUUCAGUUGCUCAGCUGGAAAUCGACCCACGCUCCCAAAGCACAAGAAUACAACGCUUCGACUUGGUUGCAUAUCCAGCCAUUUCAAACAUUCAUGCACACCUCCUCCCGUUCCACCUGCUGCACCUCCACCUUUCCCGUUGUCUGAUGCAAUCAGAGGCAGCUCCAAUGGGGGUGUAAUGGGGAGCCAUUACACCGCUCCAUGACACGGCUCCCCAUUGCAGCCGUGUCAUGGAGAUUACACGCAUCACAUGUAUGAUGCGUGUAAUCCAUUGAAUGUGGGCCCUUUGUGCCUUUUUAUUUGAUUUAACUUAUGUAAUAUUAUGUUAUGGAGUUCAACUAAUUACAUUCCGAAUUAUUAAUUAAGUAUGGAUUAUUAUGAUAUCUUCGCAUUUGAAGUAUCAAAUAUUUGUUUAAUUUCCUACAUAAUUAUUUUUAAAAAAUAACAAUAUAUUAUUUUUGAAACAUAGAAAAAGAUAUAUUAUUCAAACUUAAAAAUUAAUAAUAUCAUUUUUAGAAAAUAAAAAAAUUCAAAAUGUACAAAAUUUAACGAAAGUUAGUACUUUAUUUUUUAAAAAUAACAAAAUUAGUUUUAAAAAUUACUUUAUUUAUUUAUGGGAUAUGAGUUAUGCAUUAUUAAAAUAAAUAUUUGAUUAAUUGUGGACCCAUGCUAUUACACCUUGUGGAGUGUAAUCCAUUGUGAGUGAAAGUGUAAUAAAAGAGGAGAAAGUGGAAUGCUGACGUGGCAUGUGGAUUACACUUCACAAAGUGUAAUAGCAUUGUGGAUGCUCUAAGCUGAAAACAGGCGGAGUGGGGCCAUCCGGAACAUACUUUCCAUCAGCGAUUGAUUUCAAGAUGCUAGGUUCGAGCGAUUCGAACGUGUUGACUAGGAUCCCGGACGAUUUUGCCAAUUGCGUCCCAACAUCUAAGAAAAAUGCAUACUCAGGAGACGUUCUUUCUAGCAAAGGGACUGGCAUGUCUCGUGGUGGUAUUGGAAGUAAAUCAGGAACAUGUAAAAGUUCGUCCAGGUCUUUAAAGCUUUUGUUUGUUGAUUGGUGGAGCGUGGGUAAGUAAAGGAGGAGAGCGAGACCAUUAGCGCCAGAAGUGAAGAAGUAUUAACGCGUCAAUUUUCUUGUCGAGCUCGUCCAUUUUGGUAUCUACGUGCGUUCGAGCGUCCUGUAACUCCGUUUGCAGGGAAUCUACUUGAAUCUGAACCCUAGUCUCAAGUUUCCGGAGCUGUUCAUCUAGAUUCUUGAGUCUGGUACCGUCUGCCAUUUGAAUUUGCAGUUAAGUUGCACCGAGGAUUGAAGGCUCUGAUUACCACUUGUCAGGAUUUAACCUGAUAAUUUCUCAGAAGAAGAAAUUAUAAGAGGGAAAUAGGAAGGGAAGAACAUGAAUUGAGAGAAAAUGAGGGAAGUAAGGGAAAUCUUAUUGAGAAUAUUUCUGUAAUGAAUCUUGUCUGCCAAGCCUUUCCUAUACUUGGCUAUUUAUAGAAAUUUCCUACACCUCCAUGCAACGUGACUGAAGCUGACAACUAACCAUGCAACUAACUAUAACAAACUGCAACAGAAUUCCCAACUAACUUCUUAAGUGCAACGACACCGUAUGUGCCAGAAGUCUGAGCUGCCUUCAAAACGACUCCGCAUUCCCCAAAGCUACGUCGCUUUACCUAGUGUUCCUGACAUUAACUUUAAAUUGCAUACGGACUUACUGGGAAUGAAGGCUGAAAAGGUUGUUGAAGGGUUUUAAAGGUUUGCCACUAUAAGAGUUUGGGAGAAACAAGCGAGAUUCAGUUCGCUCAAAAAAAAAAAAAAAAAAAAAAAAAGGAGGCUGGACACGGCGACCACUUUUAGAAAAGAGAAAAUUUCCUUAUUUAUAAAUUGGUCCAGAACCUUAAAAUAAAUAACAAGCCCGUCAUGUCCAUUGGACACGGUUAUCACUUUAAAAAAAAUAUUCUUCAUUUAUAAAUUGGUCCAUUGACCUUAAAAUAAAUAAAAGCAAAUUAUUUGGAUAGUCACUAAACUUUUUAAAUAAUAGUUGAGUUUUAGUCACUUAACUAUUAAUAGUAUAUUUUUACACACUAAACUAUUAAAAAUUUUGAAUCAUUCCAUCUGAUUCCACCAUUAAUUUUGACAAAUCCAAAUAUUAAUAGUAUAGCUGAUAAGUUAUAUGUGAAUUUUUAGAUUGGACAGAAUUAACAGUUGAAUCAAAUGAAACAGCACAAAAUUUACACACUUAAUAUUUCAGUGGGUAAAAAUAUAUUAUUAAUUGUUAAGUGAUCAAAUCUUAACUAUUUAAAAAUCUAGUAGUUACCCUGGUAAUUUGCUCAAGUAAAUAUCUUCCCAAGGAAAUAGGUGGAAAGGUUUCACAAGAAAGUAUAAGAGAUGUCAACAACAGCAAAACAUCAGGCAGCUUAUGGAAGCAGUUGAUUCCUUUAAAUACUCACUAAACUAGGUACUAGAGAGACUUUCCUUCAGCAUUCCAUCAUUCUCUGGCUUUAACUACAUUAAGGUGGCGUUUGGUAAAAGAGUUUCGGAAUGGGGAAUUGGAAUAAACCCCAUGAUUCAUGUUUGGUUCACUACUAUCGGAAUUGAAAUUUUGAUAUGAUAGCUAAAAAUUUAGCAUUCCACCAUUCCUUAGUAAGUUGGUGGGUUUUGUCCAAAACUCAAGUGUGAUUCCAAAAUCUUAUAAUUACAUAAUAUUUAGUAUAAUUAAUAUUUAUAUAUAUUAUAUAUUUAUAUUUAUAUUAUAAUAUAUACAUAUAUAUAAUAUUUUAUAAUUAUAAUAUUUUAUUAUAAUAUUAGUAUAUUAUAUAAAUAUAUAUUAUAAUUAUUUAGUUAAAUAUAAUUAUAUUUAUAUAAUAUAUAUUAUAAAUUUAUUAAUAUUAGAUAAUAAUAUAUUUAUAAUAUAUAUGUAUAUUUAUAAAUGUAUAUUAUAUGUGCAUAUAAUUAUAAUAUAUACAUGCAUAUAAUAUUAAUAAGUUAUAUAAUUAUAAUUAUUAUUAUUAUUACUAUUUUAAAUAUAAUAAUAUAUAAUAAUAACUAUAUUUAAUAUGUAAUAUAUAUUAUAUUUAUAUAAAAUAUCAGCAUAAUUAAUAUUUGUAUAUAUUAUAUAAUUAUAAUUAUAUAUUUAUAUUAUAACAUUUGUAUAUUUAUAUUUAAAAUAUAUAUAAUAUUUAAUUUAAUUAGUUACAAACUUAUAAUAAUAUUAUUAUUAAUUAUAUGUAUUAUAUAAUAUAUAUUAAUUUAUGUAAUAAAAUUGAUAUUAUCAAUUAUACUAAUAAUUAUACAUGUUUACUAAUAGAAAUUAUUAAUCAGUUAUACUAAAUGUACUAAUACUUUUAUACUAAUAUAUUUAAUUAGUGAAAAUUUCUUAUAUCCCAUUUACAAAGAGUCAAUGACUAUUAUUUACGAUGUGGUUUAUAAUAUAUUUAUUAUAUUCCAUUCUGAAAGAGCCGACGAACCAAACAUCAACUGUAGUAAUGAUACACAUUCCAGGUACUUGAACCAAACAGAUAUACUCCCUCCCUUUUUUUAUAACUGACGUUUAAGAAAUUUGUUUUAGUGUACUUUUAUCUGUCGUUUUAUUAUCCCCAUACAAUAUUAAUUAUUUUUCACAAUUUUACCCUUUUAUCUCUCUUUUCCAAUACAGGAUUCUUAAUUACUACUCCUAGUAAUUAUUGCUUCUUUCUUUGUAACAACUCUAGUAAUUAUCUGCCCCUCCGUAUUCUUUCUUCUUUUCUCGCAGUAUGUUGAACCCCCUAUGUUCUUCUCCAUCACCGCCUCCCUCCGCAUCAACCACUUGCAAUUCAACCAUCUAAAAGAAUACAAAUAAUGUAUUUCUCUUGAGACUAGUUUAUAUAGUGAAGUCCUUAUAGCCUCUCAAAAUAUUUGGUGGGAGUUAAAUAUGUUUAAAAUUUCAGAUUAAAAAUUUAGGUGAAAAUUUUUGGUGGGAAAGUUUUUCAUUUUAGAAACAUUUAGUUUCAUUUUAGAAACAUUUAGUUUGGUGGGAGUUAGUUUGCAUUGCUUUUGGCCUAGUAAAACAACACCAUUUAGUACUCUAGUGAGAGAAAAUAUGGGUGAAUUGGACAAUUAAUGAGGGUACAAAAGGAAAGUAGUGUACAAAUUUAAGCAAUGAAAAACUUUUCUUAAUUGGUGUGCAAAACCUUAAACGUCAGUUAUAAAAAAGGGGAGGGAGUAUUAGAAUGAAUGAUCUCAUUCCAAACCCAAGAUAUCCGAUUUCGAAUCCGAAUUCGACUCCGAUGUGUGAACCAAACGCCACCUAAAACCUUUGUAUGUGUCUUUCCAAAAACUAUAAAAGACCCUAUUUGAGUCAAACAAACCACAAAAGUGAAGUUUGAAAUUUGAAGAAAGAGCAGUAGAUUUAUGAGACAAAAGUGAAGUUUGAAGAAAAAGCAGUAGAUCUAAAAAGUUAACAAAACAAAAUUUAAACUCGUUGCAUCACCAGAUGCACACAGACCUACACAUUUGCUGCCAAAGAAUUAAACAAUAAUCGGUAUAAGUCACGAAAGAAUUGACAAUGCAUAUAUAUCAGCCAAUUAAUGAUACUAUGUUAAGUACUGAAUGACACCCUGCGACUUACCUAAUUGGAUUUCCUGGUGAAUACAGUCGAUUCUUGACAACAUACUCGACAUACAAGUUGUAUAUGUGCUUGAGGGAUUCCCUUCAAUCACCUGUCCUAGGAUGAGUUACCAGGAUGAUCUGUAAAACCAAUAAAUACAUGGGGAAGAAGAGGUUUUUCAUGUUCACAAGAGAGAGUUUUUCAACUUGUCAUGGAAAAAAGUUAUGCUAACUGCCAGCAAGUGAUAGUCAGACAACAGAUAAAUGUCUUGAUACUCUUGCUACAUAGCCAUCUAUAUGAAUGCAAGCAUAUAUACUCAUGCAAUCAUCUGGACAGACCUUAAUCCCAGAUGGACUCUCCAUGAAACUAAGUUAGUAGGUAUUAGUGCGGAAGCUGUGAAACGAACAUCCCUGCCCAGGUAAUUGUGGGACUCCAAGAUUUCCUUUCUCAACGCUGCCAAAGAGAUCAAACAAUAAUGUAAGAAAGUCACUCUUAUUAGUAUGUCUUCAAAGAUAUGAUUAAGAAACAUUUUUAUACCAGGACAAUAAUGAGAUGCAAAACUAGUCUUCAGGAUUACUUUCAAUUUGACCAAAUAAUGGCCAAUCCUUUCUGGUAAAAAUUCUCACAUCACACCAUCAAGCUGCUACUGUGGGUGGUCAUUUAAGGUGCACGCAUAUUAACUCAUGAACUUCUUUAUAUACAUCAACAAAUGUACAUGUGUUUUAACACCAGCAUACUCUUCAAUCACUCUUCUUUAUCAAAAGACUAACACCAUUACAAAAGAAUACCCAAACUUUAGUAAUGCCUAUCAAAGUACUUGUGAUCAUGAGGCAGAUUAUUAUCUUUCUCCUUAGGCAUGAACCUCAUUUUAAACUGCCUUGACAAUGGCUUGACAGUCUGGUUGGAGAAAUGGAUCAUCUUUUUUGGAAUUAAAAAGCUAGAAAAGAAAAAUUGUAAUGCUAAUGCACGUCAUGGAGGCCAAAUUGAUUAUCAGACAACUUGGGGGGGGGGGGGGGGUGGGAAUUGGAUUAACCAAUACGUAAGUUGAAUCAAGCGUCAAGUGCAAUAACAAAAGAAAAAGGUCGUCUAAUUAUUAGAAACGAAAAAAUAAUUCCAAAAUUAUUUGAUCGAAAGAAGGAGAAAACAAACCUAGUUGGAUCCAUUUUGGCAGUCAAGGAUUUAAGAGAGAAGAGGAGACCGAACAUGAGCUUGUGAUCCUGCUGGGGGCUGAGAGUCUUAAGUGGCCGAUUCCAUUCCCUGUACAGCAGACAUACUCCAUUCCUGUUGAACACGUAUAGCAUGUGGGCGUUAUUCCCCGCUGCAGUCGGGACCGGCGGCGAUGGACUGAUCUCGGAUCCUCCGAAAAAUUGCAUGCUUUGGGAGAUACCUUUUUUUUUUUAUUUUUAUCCCUGGGCGAUACUUGUGGAGUUGAGCAACAGGGGGAUGGGAGGAACCAGGGUGAGCAGCGACAGCUAGGGGCCGGGGAAGGGUAGUGGACAAUGGCUUGGCUUGCUGGCUGGUUAGAGAGGAGCGGAGGGGAUCGGGCUAUAAGGCUACUAGCAGUAAAUUUUACUACUGCUAAACUUUUUUAUGUUUUGCUUUUCAAGUUUGGGAUUAAAUUUGGGAAUCAUGGUUCCUGAAAACCUACCAAUCAUCAUUCCUCCCUUUCGUUUUUUCCUUUUGGUGGAGAGAAUGAAAACCUCCCAGUCUAUGCGGGUACAGACUACAGAGUUUUGAUGAAUCUUUAAAUUUCUUUCCAAAAAUCUCAUACCCACAUGGCCAUACCCUGUUGCCAAAACUUAAUUUCCAUGCCUUUUGCUUGACUAGUGUUUAAUUGAUUCAAAUCUCAACCCCUCUAUAUUUUGUUUUCCUGGAGUCCUCAAACCAAAAAAACAACAACAAUAAUAAUAAUAAUAAUAACAACAACAACAACUGCUGCUGCUGCUACUACUACUAGUUUUAUUCACAAUCACACUAAUGUUUGAGGCACACUUGUUGCGUGCACAACUAGCAAAAAAAAUUAUAUACAAUUUUUUAAAUAUUUGUUAAAGUCAUUCUUAUGAGGCAAUUUUAUAUUUUUUAUAAUACCUACGGUGAAAAAUUUACCAAAAUAAACUAUGCAAAAUGUAAAUAGAUAGUUGUUUGGUAGUGGGUAAUAAUCAAAAAAAGAGAAAGAGGGAGCUAGUGGAUAGUUAGUUAUAAAAAGUACUAAUUUAGAAAUAUCACAAAGUGACAGGUUUUAGUUUACACAAAAAAACCUCCUCUUUUUUGUAUAUGGUACAUAGAUAAUUAUUACUGUUUUUAUAAACACUCUAACUUACCAAUAUGUUCAAAUGCCAUAGUUAUAAAACUUGACAUGCCUCAACAGUAAAACUGGUCAACUCGGUGAACGGAUCAUAGGAUCGAGUUGGAUUGUUAAUCAAACCUAUUGACCCGUCAAUGAUCCGACAUUUCAAUUGGUGAAUCGAAAAAAAAAAUCGUCAAUUAAGUUGCCGUCUAACCACCAACAUAAAAAUUAUAUUGUAUUUAUAAUUUAAAAUAUAUUAUAAUAUUACAUAAUAUAACUAUUAUGCAACCCACAGCUCGAUCACCUCUCCGGAUUGAGCUCCUAACCGGAUUUAAUAACUAUGGUCCUAAGUCAAUCUAUUUGAAAAUACUAUAGUAAUUGAGCAUAUUUUUUCCUUCUAUUUUUGGAAACUUACAAAAAGAAAAAUGGAAGUAUCAUCGCUCAAUUUAUAUUUGCAAGGUAAAGUUAAGGUCAUGACGGCGGGGAACAUUCAUUCCGACUGGACCAAAAUAUCUGUUUUCAUCUUCUUUUAGCGUCCAUUUAGUAACAACGUGGAGAAGAAUUUGCAUCGGGAAUGGGAAGAACUCGGAAUCAAAGCUAUGCUUGUUUGUGGUCCAUAGCGAAAGAUAUCACAUAAUGGAAUAAACGUUGACAUGCCCGACCACGUGAGAAAAGCCCAUUCUCUAAAUUUGGCCCAUUUUUGCAAAAUGACUGUGUGAUUUUUCCAGCCCAAAAACAAACUCUGGUUAUGUAUCGAAACCAACCAAGGCCGUAGAAGAACCUUCUUCAACUUUGCGGCAUUCAUGAUCCAACAACUACGGUGACUUGUACCUUGAUGAAUGAACUGCGCUGCGUUAUUUAUUUAUUUAUUUAUCAUUCAUGUCAAACUUUUCUGUUUACUUUCUCAUUUUAUUCAAGAAAUUACUUCCUUCGAUAAGUACAAGUACUAGAUUAAUGAACGUAUAUGAGUGAUUUUCUAAUUCGAUUUGAGUUAGUAGUAUUAUCCAAAAGGACAACAAAUCAAUUUGAAAGCUGUAAAUAAUUAAUUUGCCUGUGUUUGUGUCUACCAAUUAGUAGUACCACAUAAAGGCCCAACAAGGGUUUGGGUUGGGUAUUUAAGUCCCUGGGUUGGCUUCAAGAGUUGCAGGCUUUUGGAGUUCAAUCUAGAAUUAUAUUUAAAUUAAUCAACAAAAGUCUAUUACUGAAGUUGAAAGAAGACAACUAACUCUGGGAUUGGGUUCUUGGAUGGUAGUAUCCCACUUAGCAGCAGGGUUCCCCCUUUAGGUUAGUUAUCCCACAUCGGUUCUGAGAGGGGUUUGGGUUGGGUAUUUAAGUCUCUGAGUUAGCUUCAAGAGUUGCCGGCUUUUGGAGUUCAAUUUGGGAUUAGAUUUAAAUUAAUCAACAAAAGUCUAUUACUGGAGUUGAAAGAAGACAUAAAGGCCCAACAACAACUCAAAAUAGCUGAACACAGCUCAUAUGAUGGUGUUGGAGUUAGCGGCAUCAACUGUCUUAACUUCAUGUCUUGCUAUUACCCAAAAAAAAAAAAAACUAUGUUUUCGGAGUCGGAGACUCAAUCGAGUUUAGGAUUAAGGGUCAAUAGAUUCGAUCGAAUUUGAUUUGGAGUUGAAUCGAAUAACAUCAUAUAUAUGUCAUAUAUAUAUAUACCCAUUAUUUUUCUUGUAAAAAUAACCAAGAUCCUAAUAUUCACUAAUCAACAAGAAUAAUCAGCAAUCACCUGACGCCAAUGAGUAGCAAAAAGGAUUAACCUAAAUGUUUAAAAGCAUUUGGCUUAAUUAUUGAUCCCAGAAAACAAAUUUUGCAUUAGUUGAUUGUCCUAAUAAAUCUUGACUUAACCCAAAAAAAGGUAUAAAAGACAAGUAAAUUGGUAUGUUUUGUCAUAUAACCUAUGAGAUUAGAAAUAAAAGGUAUUCAAAAGGUGCGUCAUCUUCAUAUGCGAGUCAGACGGUUUCGGAUACCACCAAAUCACCUAAUCAUAACUUUGUACUCAAAUUAACAAGUUGCAUGUCCUUUUUAAUCAAGAAAAUAUAUAUCAGUCAAGUGAUAUAUAUAUCAAGACGAAGAAUUAUCAGUCCUCAAGUCAACAUACCGGGACAUCAGUCAAGUGAUAUUAUUAUAAGAUUAAUUCAUGGUUCAAUUUUCAAACCUUUUUCUUUCUUCCUUCCCUCUUCAACUCUGCAAAACAUAAAAAUCUCCUGCUAGGGAAAAAAAUACAUAAAUAAAUAUUGAAUCUGACCUGAAGACCCGACCCGGUUUGGGAUUAUUGAGUUGGCAAAGAGAGAAAAUUUUAAAUUUAUGAUGAUGCAUGCCUGGGAGACUUUGUGGCAAUCAUAGUUAUUAAAUUUGGCCUGAUCCGGCGGUCGAACCGAUCAAUCCGGUAAACCGAUCAGUGAAUCGGGCCGGAUUUUCAUUAUAAUAUAAUAUACAUAUUAAUAUAUAUUAAUAUACAUAUUAUAAAACAAAAUUGAAAUAAAUAUAUUUAUAAAUAUAUAUAAAUAUAUUUUGAACAAAAUAUUAAUAUUAAUAUAUAAAUAUAUAAUAUUUAUUUCAAUUGAUAUAAAUAUAUAUAAAUAUAUAUAUUUACAUAAAUAUGUAUAUAAAUAUAUUUAUAAAAUUAUAUAAAUAUAUGUAAAUAAAUAUAUUUAUAUUUACAUAAAUAUAUAUGCAAAUAUAUUUAUAAAUAUAUAUAAAUAUAUUUUAAACAAAAUAUAUUUUUUAUAUAUAAUAUUUAUAUAUUAAUAUAUUUUUUGUAUAUUUGGAGUUAUUUUUUAUAUAUUGUUUAAAUAUGAUGUUUUUGGAAUUGUUUUUGUUUGUGUAUUACUGUAGUAUUGUAAAUGAAAAAAUUACUUUUUAAAAAAGUUUGUUUGGAUUGUGUUUUAUUUCCCCAAUUUUAUCUGCUUACAUCAUUAUUACAAUUUUCAAUACACCUUUUUAUCUUCCCAAUUACCUUUUUAUCUCACAUACAUCACAUCACAAAAAGUGCUACAGUAAAAAUAUUCCAAAUAAAACACAAUCCAAACAAACCCAGCGGGCAAUGAUAAAUCUUGUUCUAUGAAUCAUCAUCUUCUUUUUUUUUUUUUUUGCCCUUUUUUCGUACCGCACUAGGCUCCAAAUCUUUAAACUGCAAGACAACUUCGAUUAUGUCAUAUUUGAUGCAUUUUCAUUCUCAUUUCCUUUUUUUUUUUUGGGUAGGUACUGAGUUUGUUUGGAUAAGAGUUUAUUUGGAUGAUUUAUUUGAGAUAAUUACUGUAACAUUUUUUGUGAUGUGAUGUAUGUGAGAUAAAAAGAUGAUUGAAAUUUGUGAAGUAAAUUAUUUUACUUUAAAUCUUGUUUGUUCAAACACAUCCACUUUUUGUGAUGUGAUGUAUGUAAGAUAAAAAGUAUGUUUUAUAAUCUCCAAGAAAAUACAAAAUCACAGCCAACAAGCAAAGUAUAGGCUUUGUAUGGACUGUUAGUAUCCAUUAUCGGUAUUAGAAAACAGUAAACUUUUUGAAUAAUUGACUUCGGUUGACCCAAAUAAUUUAUUUGCCUAGCAUCCAGUUUUCUUUUUGAGCUCUGUCUUGUUUUCUGACCGUUACACUUUCCCAAUUCACAAACCAACAAAACCUGUCUCGUACUUGUCCUCUCUCUUUCUUCCCCUUUACUCCCCUUCUUUAUCACCUUCAACCAGACGCUGCAUCCCCAUUAAUUCAUACCUCUGCUCUACGACAAGCCUCCAUUUACUGAGAAAUAACUAGCCAAUUUUCACAGAUAAUUGCACCAAUACAACGCGGAUCGGAGAAAGCGCAUGAAUUUUUCCUCGGUCAUAACGAUUCUGGCCAAGAAAGCUCUAGGAAUCAGACCUUGCUGCUAACCUUCUUCGUCGACACAGAAAUCUCCACUGCGCUCAAUUCAUCUGCCCAGGUAUGUUUCGCUGCCUUUGUUCCAAUAAAUCUAUUUUUGGAACAGGUUUUUGUAUGGUUCUUCAGUGGACUAUUCAGAUUUAUGGUAAAAAGCUACCGAAAUAUCUGCUACCCAUAGGUCUUGCUUCUGAAAAAUUAGGGUUCAAUAAUGGGUUACCAAGAUUAUGUUUAAUUGCUCAUAAUUAGUGUUAACAAAAUUAACUAUAGCUGAGGGAGGUAGUAUGACUAUAAAUACACUUGAAAUAAAUUAGAUAUAGGAUGUCUAAUUUUAUUCGAUUCUAAAAACACCGUGAUACAAUGUUUUUGUUUAAAUUCCAUCAUGUUUGCUUUGGUGUCUUUAUUGACUGAAUGCGCUUGGAUCUGAUUUUUUAUCAGCUGUACUAGUUACCAUUCUGCCGUCUCAUUGCUAGAGGAGGUCAUAAUGCUUCUGUUUUUUUUUUGUAGCAACGCAAUCCGGAACUUUAGUUCCCCCAAUAUUAGAUUGGAACACAUUUAUAUGCCUUUGAAACGCCGUCGACUCUGUAAGAGCAACGGUAAGACCACUACAGAAGUUCACCAAGUGUUUGAUUGUCUAUACUAUUGCAAGGUUGUUGUUAUUUCUUGCCUUCCAUUCUAUAUAACAUUUGUUUUUUAUCCAACAAUAGCCACAUGGACUACUUAGGAAUGUGCAAUUUAUCGAACAUCUAUAACUUUCAUAUUCUAUUAUGUCUUUCUAUUAUACAAAUAUCACAAUUUUUUGAGUCUUCUAUAUUCAUUUCUAUGCAGUCCAGCCAGCACAUUCCGAGACCGAUUCAAACGAUUUGGGUGCUUGCGCAAGAAACUACUUUGCAACGGUAAUACUUGCCUCCUAGUCUGUAGUAAUGAAGUUAUGGGUAAUGGAAUUGACUUUUUCUUAAGCAACCUGGCUGUGUACACUCAUUACUAUAUGAUUUUGUUGCGGUAGAUGACUGAUGAAUCUGAAGUAGCUGAUUGGAAGAAUCACCCAACACUUGAGUCAUCAUUUGUUGCCACACUUGUAGAAUGGCAUAGGAAUGGUGCUUGGGACAAGUUCCAAAAGGGCAGGUCGAACUGGCAUCAUCUAACUCUACACAUGAAUGACAAGUGUGGAGCUAAUUUGAAGUGGGAACAAUACCGAUCCAAAUUUUACCGACUGGAAUCUGAGUGGAAGUGUUUUAUCAAGCUAAAUGGGAUGUCCGGAUCUACGGCAGAGACAGGAGUUGGCUUUAAUUCAGAGUUGCUGUGCUUUCAGGCCACAAGGGAGAAAUGGAGCGCUCUUACGCGGGUAAACUUAAUCAAAUUAACUUCCGCUGAUACCUAUGAUCUAUUGACUGCAUUGCUGAAAUUUUUUGGCAAGUUUGCUUGAGGACUUUUAUAUGACAACUCUUGUAUUUUGCAUGAUGCUUUAUUAAAUUUCAGUUAAUUAUGAUUAAUGGGCUGUGUAUCUAUUAAAGAUGUGGACAGAUGUCAAAUUGUUUCUGAAUUAUUUGCCAUCUUCUUAUAAGGAACAAUAUGUAGACGGACCUGCCAUCAAAUUCUUGGUUGCUUCCCUUUUAUUAUUAGUUUCUAUACAAAGCCUUUAGGUAUGACAGUCUUAUUGCGUUAUGAAUUUAAUAGACAGUACAGUGGUGUAGGAAAUGCUAUUGCUAUGCCUUAACAAAAUUGCCAAUGACGCACAAAACGAGGCAAUUAUAUUAAGCAGAUUAGUACUGAGUUUCUUGCCAAUGACCAAACGAGUGGUAUGUUUCGCAAAGCCACAUUCAUAUAUUUGCUACUAUCUUUUCUGGUUGUUUGCUGCCCUCUUAUAUCUUUUAUUUCUGCCAUCUUUGUUUAUGUAAUGGUAGCUGCUCAAUAUAUCAAAACUGCUGUAGGUUAUCAAUAUCCAAGUUACUUCAAUUCAUUAUAUACAUGUCUUCUACCUGAAAAUUGCACUUUCUACUUGGUUCAACACAUGUCCUUUCACUUGCCUUACAGGAAAAUAAAUUCUUUGCAAGGUUCAAAGAAGGACGAAGCUGUGGCUGUUUCUUUGAACUGACUGAAAUCCUUCAGGGCAGAUCUGCCACAGGCAAGCAUGCCCAAUCGUCUACCCAGAGUGAAGUCCAUCACUCUCCGUGGUCUGCUGAAAAGACAACUGGUGCUGCAUCAAGAGUCAAGGGAAAGGCAAAGGUAGACGAACCUACGUCAGUGUUUUGGGGUGACGAUGUUUACAUCCCUGUUGUGGAUGAAGAUGUCGAAUUUGUUGGUAGUAGGCCUGGUAAACGACCAGCCUCCAGUCGAGGGACUUCGUCCUAUGAUGGGUCUAGGAGUACUAAGUCUCAAAAGACUGGUGAGGCUCUGCGAGAUGCAGCUUGCAAUAUUAGCAAAUUGUCACAGAUUAGGAUUGAUGAAAACACGCAACGUAAUGAGUGGUGUGUGGCUGCUUUGAAGGUUUGGGACAAGAGCUACCCGAAACAUGAGCCUGUACAUCUGUGGAACCAGAAACGGCUUGCAUGCAUGAAGGAGUUCGCAAGCAAUGAGAGGUGGUGCCACAUGUUCCUCCAAUCGGAUGAAAGUUUCCAAUAUUACUACGCCGAUACCAUUCUUGACCCCAAACCCCCUCAUGCAUAGGUAGAAUGAAUAAGUUCGUGACUUAGGGACAGCAUGGGAUGCUAUGUUGGGCUGUUUUCGGUCACGGGAGAUGCGGCGACCAAUUUUGGCUUUUUAUUCUUCCCACAAAGCAUUCUCAUGGAUCCACUUUAUUGUAGCUUUCAUGUUUUAUUGGAUGAGUACUCGUAGUACGUUUGUAAUAAUUAUGGGGUGAAUUCAUUACACGCAACUGUUAUGAAUUUUUCUUAAUUAUGCAUGUGGCAUACGUGGUCACCAAAUGAUGUUGUACUAACUUUAUUGCUUGAGGACUUCUUGAUACUAAUUUUGGUUGCGUCGAACUUGUUCUUUAUCGCCAACAGGGAGCAAUUUUACAAAUUGGCAAGCUAUUGGAUGAAUAUUUUUUGAUAUGCUUAUGUGUAUAUAUCCAUAUAUGAAAAUUUGCUUCAUAUAUAGUCAAAUAUAUAUGGGUAUGAAUGUCCAGGUAUUUGCUAUCAAAACUGCCAAGUACAUAUGUAUAUAUUUGUUUUUGUUGUUAGCAAAUGAACACGAUUGGAAAAGUUGGAAAAGUUGGUAGACCAUUUUUUUCAUGUCAAAUUUGCCAUAUUUGGUUCUAACCAGCAUCCUAUUGCAUAUAUAUUGAUUUCAAAUUGCAAUGGUCAAUUAAUGACUUCGGGAAUACUUCAGUAGGAGCUGGACAAUGUCUUACGGCUAGUCAGCUUUGUAUUGUAUGUAUAAGUGGUUCCUUAUGCAUUUUUUUCAUGUCAAAUUUGCCAUAUUUGGUUCUAACCAGCAUCCUGUUGCAUAUAUAUUGAUUUCAAAUUGCAAUGGUCAAUUAAUGACUUCGGGAAUACUUCAGUAGGAGCUGGACUAUGUCUGAUGGCUGGUCAGCUUUGUAUUGUAUGUAUAAGUGGUUCCUUAUGCAUUUGUCUGGCCUAUAACAUUAAAGCUGCAAUCAGUUUCACGUGCCUGCAAAAUUGGCAAAAGAUGCGCCCAAUAUAGUAAAAAGAAGGAAAUGCACAUGGGUAGAUUGAUUCUGUACAUAGCUUUUUUGCAGCCUUAUGUCAAAUUUGUACAGCCUUCUUUUUUGGCUUUGUGCGAUGGUUAAUUUGUCGUUGGUUAAGUUACCGACACUAUUAUUUCAUAUAUAGAUUAGAAUUAAAUAUUUGGUUACCAAAAGUGUCGUGAGGAAUUGCUUAUAAAGUGUCGGUAGGAAUUACUCACUCAUAUAUUCCUACCAAAACUUGCCUCAGGCAUUUUUAUACUCAAUCAAACAUCUCGUUAGCGAUCCGUAGGGCAACGACGUUACAAAGUCUCUCAAAUAUAUAUGUAAGUAUUUUUAUACCUUUCAACUACAAUUUUAUCUAAGCUUCCUAUCCUUAUAUCGUUUUUUGCUUUCAUGUUUAAAGCCAAGUAAUUUAUUUUCCAAAAUUUGUACAUCUCAAUUUUGGGUUGGCUAUGUCUGCUUCAAUAUUAGUAAGAUAAAAGAAACUCCUCAAGUAAGUUGGACAGAAAAUAGAGGAUGGUGAGUUUUUCAUAGAAAUUUAAUACAAAACGAAUAUUUUAACAAAUAGCAACAAAAAUUGUAGCUGGAACAUACACUGUCAUUCUUUUAUUAUUUCGCAAAAAAGGGAAAAAUAUUUUCCAUCAGUUGUGUUAUAGAAAAUAUACAAGUGUUCUAGGUGCAUUAUUUCAUAAUGUUAUGUAAGUAUUAAUUAAUAGAAGGUGCGUUAUUUAAUACUAUAUGUUAUUAAACUACUUUAAAGAAGUUGGUAGUCAAUUUACAAAAUCUGGCCGAUUGUAUCCGUUGGCCGAUUGUAUGGAAUCUAUUUUUUUCAUUGAUAUGUGUUCAUUAGGGUGCGCAAUGAAUUAUGUAGCCAAUUGAAAAGUUAGAUAAUUGCUUAGUAUUUUAUCACUACAGUUAAUUGUGUUUAUACCACCAAAAUGUCCAAAAAUAUUGUACGUUCAAUCAAUACUUCCCAAAGCCUUUGUAAAGACAACCCUAGCAAUUUUUUUUGGCUGCUUUCCCUUCUGGCGAGCACAAUUUUGCAUUGCCUUUUGGUUCGUCUUUAUUCUAAGGUUAUUUUUUGUAGACACAAUGCAUCAUAUAAUAUUGGGAUAAGAAUAAAAAAUAAGUGGCAUUAUUUGAGUUUAUUAAACAAAAUGUUAUAGGAUGUGAAGAAUCCACUAAUGACAUAUAAUGUAUUAAGUUCAGAAUUUAUUUGUACAAUAUAUUUUUUGUUAUAAGUUGACCCUUUUAAUUUGUAUACUUGAUUGAUCCAAAUUGCUCUAAGUUUAGUGUGCGAGAUUGUGACACACACUCCAAUGGAUAAUAUUUGGAAUCCUCGGCCCUCAUCAUCGAAUAUAUAUUACGAUGAUGAUGACGAGGAUUGGCAACUAAUCCAGUGGGCAACGGUUAUACUCUUCAAUCCCGUGGCGGAAAGAGCAGCUGGAUACAUCAUACCUUUACCAUGUAGAAAUAGCGCCCUAUCGGGCCGAGCUUAUGUACAAGAAAUUAUCCAUGGCCAUCCAGCAAGAGUGCUUGAGAACUGCAGAAUCACCGUGGAUUCUUUCAUGCGCUUAUGUGAAAUUUUAGUGAGCGGGGGAUAUGUACCGCAGAACCCGCACAAAAGGGUCCGUAUAGAAGAGGCAGUGUGUAUGACCUUAGUUAUGCUAAGCCACAAUCAUCGUAUGCGUUGCCUGGCUGAGCGAUUCCAGCACUCCCCGGAGACCAUAUGCAGGAAUAUUCAUGAGGUGCUGCGGGGGAUCUGUGAGUUAGGGCAAUCUCUCAUUUGUCCUAGAAAUCAGAACGAGGUCCAUCCAAAAAUUUACACGGAUCGGCGAUUCGCUAAUUGGUUCAUGGUACUUUAAUUCUACUAAUAUAAUGCAAGAAAUUUCUUUCAGUUAGCUUUAUUUCACAUAUUUAAAAUAUUUUUUACAUACAAAGUAACCCAUAUUUUAAAUGUGUAGAACGCUGUAGGUGCAAUGGAUGGGACGCAUGUUCCAGCACAUCCUCCACCUGGAGAGCAAGUGGCAUAUAUGAAUAGGCAUGGGCAAGCAACUCAAAAUGUUUUAGCAAUUUGUGAUUUUGAUAUGCGCUUUUCAUAUAUUUAUGCUGGUUGGGAAGGGAGCGCACACGAUGCACGUGUCUUGGAUGGAGCACUAACAGGGCCAACACAUUUUCCUAUGCCUCCAACAGGUGCACUCUAGAUGUUAUCAAUUAAAUAUGGCAAUAAUUACUAUAAUUAUAAAAGUAGUCUACUGGGAUGCCAUAUUUUUUACCAUCAAUUUUUUUUAUCGUUAUUAGGAAAAUACUAUCUCGUUGACUCUGCAUAUAGAAACAUUCCCGGAUUUCUUGCUCCGUAUCGUGGAACACCUCGACAACCUGCACAGGGACGACGGGGAUUUUCCUCACCACGACAACUUUUCAAUAAUCGGCAUUCAUCCCUUCGAAACGUUAUUGAAAGAUGCUUUGGGGUGCUAAAGAGGAGGUUCAGCAUCCUUCGCGGGCCUGUACCCAAUUUUUAUAUGACCACACAAAUAAAUGUAGUCAUAGCCUGUUGCACUCUACACAAUUUUAUCCGCAAUGAAUUGCCUGAGGAUGACAUCUUCAAUGACCAUGAACAAGAGAUGGAGGUCGAGGGAGAAGGUGGGGUGCCACCAAUGCCAGAAAUUCAACCCCUAUCAGCCUCUCAACAAGACAUCAACGAAUGGCAUGAAAUGAGGGAUGGACUGGCAAAUGGAAUGUGGAAUGCCUAUCGGAGACGAAGUGGCUAGAAAUCAAUAAGUGAUAAUGAUGUUAUAAUUUCAGUAGUAAAGUAUCGGUAAUUAUGAACCUCUUAUGUGUACGCUUAUCUAAGUAAACUAAUUCAAUCCUGCAUGCUUAUUAUAUGGGUUUGCUUUAAUUGGUGUAGGCUUGGUGAGCCUUAAUCCAAUAUUUCUUUUUUUCAUGUUGACAAUGUAGUCCAAACGUUUCCAUGAAUUCCCCUAAUAAUAAACAUCAACUUUUUUUUUAGUCUCAUAAUUGAAUCAUUAUUGUCAAUUAUAUGAACUUAGCAUAGCCGUUGCCCAUUUGCUGAUCCAAAUAAUCUUAUAUGGUGAGGAUGUCCAAUUUAUUUCGGUCAACUAAAAUAAAUCAAUACUUCCAAGUAUAGAAUAUACAAUCCAAACAGGAAUCCUACUUAAUAUUCUCCCAAAAUUAACUAUCCAAACGAGAUUGAGUUAUUCUAUUUUCGGUCAAUACCUUUGACCGAAAACAAAUAAUUAUUCAUUGGAAUACUAAUAAUCCAUACAAAGCCAUAGAGUUCUAUGACAUAAACUUCUCGAUAAAAUCACAAACUUCUCGAUGAAGACACCUUUCAAGGAUAAACAUCCUCCAAAGUAUAGAGUCCUAUGACACAAUCAUCAACAAACAUCAUCUUGCUUCUAUAUCCACAAAUCAUUUCCAAUUUUAUAGAAAAGGAGAAAAAGUUAGUGUCACGCAACAAGCAAGACUUGAGCGGGAUUAACUACUACUAACUACCAGUAUUAAUUGAGAUUUACCGUACCCUUAUUUAUCCAUAUAGAGUAGCAUUUCUUUUUCUUCCUUUUGGGAAGUUAUAUUUUGGAUAAUUUUUGAACACAAUAGAUCUACACUUACUCUAUAUUAGGGGAGGGGACUUGAUAAGGCCUAAAGAGAAUUCGAAGGAAACUAAUUAUUGUAGAUAUCCCUGAAAAAUUGCAAGCUAAUUAAGGGAAGACAUAUAAAUGUGUAGGAAUUAAUCACCAGUAGAAGAAUAAUGCAAAGUCUUUCUUGCUCACCUCGUGUAACCCCACUAGGCGCACCAGUAGUUACAGCAACUAAUUGCACAACAACGCAAUGUAUUGCAAGUUUGCAACCACCACAAGCCUGGCUCCUUUUUUGUUUUUUGAUCGCUUGUCUCCCUGCAGUGCUGACUGGGCACGGUAGGGGCAGGCAAAUUAAAAAAAAAAUUAGAAUCUAACUUUUUCCGAAAACCAAUAAUUGCGCCGGAACAAUUUAAAAAAUUUAUUUUGCUACCGUGCUGAAUUAGUACGGCAGAAAUAGUUUGAGAAACACCUUGUCAGAGCUACAUUUGAUGAUUUUUUUUUUAAUGUACAUUUUAAGAAAUUAGCCCUUUUCUUUCUUCCUUCUCUCUUCAACUCUGCAAAACAUAAAAAUCUCCUGCUAGGGAAAAAAAACAUUAAUAAAUAGUGAAUCUGACCUGAAGACCCGACCCGGUUUGGGAUUAUUGAGUUGGCAACGAGAGAAAAUUUUAAAUUUAUGAUGAUGCAUGCCUGGGAGACUUUGUGGCAACUGCUCCUAGCUAGGAGCAGCAAGGGUCAGCCGCAAGGGCGGGUCUAGGACCAAUCCAAAGCCGAGACAUGAGUGAGUGCCUCCCAUGAUGACGCUGCUCUCAAACACUCACUGCAACAUUGCACCGAGUUAUCUACAGAACUCAUUUGGGAAAACAUCCAAAGAAUUUUUAAUUGGGUUGCGACUUAACGUUUUCGAGGAUUCAGAGGAAAGCCUCAAAACCUUAACUCAGAUUCUACUAUUUCGGAUUAAAAACUCUCUGUAACUCUCCUCAUAAACUAAACAAUAGCAUACUGUCAUAUGUUAUACUCAAACUAUAUAUUUGUUGACAUUUAAAUAACAAUAAAUCCUUCCAGUAACAAAUUAAACACACAAAAUAUAUCCACCCAUAGGGUUUAUUAGUUUAUUAUUGCAGUGAGACUGGUGCAAGAAAAUGCGGCUAAUUCCCAGCUUACUCCAGCUUCCUCCAGGAUUCUACCAAUUUGGCCAAUGCCACAAUGGAUGAGCCCCCAUCAGCUAUUGCUUGCUUUGCUUCCUCCUUCUUUGCCUGGGCUGUUUCCCUGAUCACCUUUCCUUCCUCCGAAUCCAUCAACCCCCUAACUCGCUUCUCGAUUUCAGCCGCUUUCACGAACCCACCUUCCGUACUUUCAUCCAUUGGUAAGGCCAACUUCAUCUCCUCAACUAAGAACAGCCUAUUCAGCUUCUGCUCAGCAUAAAGUGGCCACCCCACCAUAGGCACACCCGCACAGACUGCUUCCAACACUGAGUUCCACCCACAGUGGGUCACAAACCCACCCACCGACCCAUGAUUCAACACAUCCACCUGCGGCGCCCAAGAACUCACCACGAAACCCCUACCCUUUGUCCGGUCCAAAAACCCGUGGGGAAGCAACAAAUCCAGAUCUGGGGCGGGUGGAGUUUGAAAGCGGCUGGUUUUGUCCUCAGAAGGCGGACUGCGCACCACCCACAGGAACUUUUGCUCGCUCCUCUCCAACCCGAUGGCUAUCUCUUUCAGUUGCUCAGCUGGAAAUUGACCCAAGCUCCCAAAGCACAAGAAUACAACGCUUCGACUUGGUUGCAUAUCCAGCCAUUUCAAACAUUCAUGCACACCUGCUGCACCUCCACCUUUCCCGUUGUCUGAUGCAAUCAGAGGUCCUAAGCUGAAAACAGGCGGAGUGGGGCCAUCCGGAACAUACUUUCCAUGAGAGAUUGAUUUCAAGAUGUUAUGUUCGAGCGAUUCGAACGUGUUGACUAGGAUCCCGGACGAUUUUGCCAAUUGCGUCGCAACAUCUAAGAAAAAUGCAUACUCAGGAGACGUUCUUUCCAGCAAAGGAACUGGCAUGUCUCGUGGUGGUAUCGGCAGUAAAUCAGGAACAUGUAAAAGUUCGUCCAGGUCUUUAAAGCUUUUGUUUGUUGAUUGGUGGAGCGUGGGUAAGUAAAGGAGGAGAGCGAGACAAUUAGCGCCGGAAGUGAAGAAGUAAUAAGUCGGGAUUCCAAGGUUGGUAGCAACAGAGAGGGCACAGGUGCAAAAGAAGUCGAUGAUGAAUGCAGAGAUUCCAGCUGUCAAGGAGAUGGAGUGCAGAGCUUGGUGAACAUGAGGGUUGCUGAGUCGAAGUAGCUCGAAGUGGAGAGCUUCCAAGGAGGGGUAAGAGUCAGGGUCAAGAGGCGGGGAGGGCAGGUGGUGGAAAGUGAUGGAAGGGGUGGUGGCAGAAAUGCGAUUCAUGUAAGCAGCAGUGGAGGCUGCGGUGUUGUAUGGCGGGUUCACAACGAGAAUAGUAACAGCCAAUCCAGGGUGGUGGUUGAGAGUGAACUUACCCAACUCUACCAUGGAAACCAGGUGACCCAUGGCUGGAGAUGGAUACAGAACUAUUGUAGGAUUGCUCCCCAUCUCUCUCUCUCUCUCUCUCUAUGUGUUCGUACACCCAAUUUCCACAAAAACUACGCAACUCUUUGAGCCAAUUGAGAGCUUCAAAUUUCCAAGAUCCAAAUAAAUAGAGAGUAACUCCCUUCUACUUUCCAUAGCCAAAAAAUGCAAUCAACUGACUGUUCUUUGUCAAGUCCCCGUAUGCAACAUCAACUUGUCUUUGAGCGAAAGUCGAGUCACCGUCAAAAAGGUCGUACAUCGCCCGAAAGGGUCUUUGAGAAAAAAGUCCAGUCAAUAUACUGUCGAUCUUGAAAGAAUAAUAAUUGUGUAAAUUUUAUUUUAUAUAUAUAUAUAUCAUAAAUUUAACGAUAAUAAUACUAAUAGGUUACAUAAGCAAAUAAGUCAUUAUUAUUAUUUUCUGGUGAAACCUUAAAUAUACAGGACUCUUUUGUUUUUUGCCCUUUUCCCUUGGCCCCUCUUGCCGUGCGAAUGCUACUGGUUUAUAAAAGGUUACAGAAGCACAUACGUCAUUGUUAUUUUCUCUUGAAACCCUAAACUGCCUUCAGUAGUCCACAAGAUACAAUAAUCUAAAAAAAAUCCGCCUGCAAAGAAAAUUGCCUGGAUCCUCCUCAGAACUCCUCAAAUCUCGUCUCAAUGGAAUCUCAGAGAGGUUUAUAUUUGAUUUAACUAAAAGUAUGUCCAGCAAACACUUUUCUUAAAUAGUCUGUUGAUGAAGGGUAAAUUAUAUUUUGAUUAAAGAAAAACAAAAGGUAGGUUGGAAAAAUAUGAUCCUGUAGAGGUGCUUUUCUUGUUAUAUGCCCGUUGGAUCCACUGGACGCGACUGGCAUUUUUUUUGUAAUUUAAAAUACAGAAUAUGCUGGCCGGUUAUCUAUUUUGUAGCAGGGACCAAUUUAUAAAUAAGGUUCUUUUUUUUUUUUUGGCCUUUUGAGCGAACUAAUAUGAUCAGAAUACAUGAUAGUGCUGGAAACACCUUUUUAUUUCAUCCCCAAGCUAAGUAAAAUCUUUUCCGGUGCUGCUGUCGAGUUCUUUUGAAAAUCACAUAACAAGUCAUGUAGAUUUUAAGUUAUUGUAUAUUAGUAAAUACAAAUUCGAUUUACAUUUAGAUAAAGGAAAAUAGUUGUGACACAAUUCUAAUACUAUACUUUCUUACGAGCAGGAAAGUUUUUAAUGAUUUUUAAUUUUUUUCCUAUCUAGAGAAAACAAAAGUCCAAACUUGAAAUAUAAUUAGAACAGAGAAAUACAAAAAUUAUAGAUUAUAUAGAGUAAUUAGGAUUCAACGCGUUGCAUACAAAAUGGUAAUUAUCUUAUAAUAGGAAAUUUUUAAAAAAUCAUGAGAAAGGGGCAAGGGACUUAAAUUCAAAACCUCUAAUUCUUGAUACUUCAAUCUUAGUCACUAGACCGAGGAUUUGAUAACAGAGAUGUAACAAAUUCAACACUAAGAAAAUGACCCACACACAACGAUAUAGAGUAAAAUAUACAGUAAACUUCUAUAAAUUAAUAUCUUCUAUUAAAUAAUAAUUUUUUUCAUCUCGACUUGGAAUAACAAGUUAAAUUAAUAAUUUUGAUGAAAUAAUAAGAUAAUAUAUAUUUUUUUGAAAACUUCAUCUAACCUCUUCAUCCUAUUCAUAUCAUAAAUUAACAAUUUACCACAAUUACAUUUCAUAUUUUUAUAAAAUACGAGUCUAUUAUUUUUCUUACAUUUUAAAUUUACCUAAAUCUCAUCCUUAGUUUUAUAUUCAUUAAACUUUUAACCUUCUUUUAUUAAUAAAUUAAUUCAUAUUUUUAUAAAAUAAAACAAAAUGGACCAUGUGGCUUCUGUUUUUGGUUUGCUUUAAUUAACUUUAAAUUGCAUACGGAGAAUGAAGGUCGAAAAGGUUGUUGAAGGGUUGGGUUUUAAAGGUUUUUGCCACUAUAACAAGCGAGUAUAACGUUCAGUUUGACUGAUCAGUUUACUCAAGAAAAGGAGGCUGGACACGGCAACCACUUUUAGAAAAGAGAAAAUUUCCUUAUUUAUAAAUUGGUCCAGAGAACUUAAAAUAAAUAACAAGCCCGUCAUGUCCAUUGGAUACGGUGAUCACUUAAAAAAAUAUAUUCUUUAUUUAUAAAUUGGUCCAAGGACCGUAAAAUAAAUAAGAGCAAAUUAUUUGAAUAGUUACUAAACUUUUUGAAUAGUCGAUUUUUGACCACUUAACUAUUAAUAGUAUAUUUUUAUCCACUAAACUAUCAAAAUUAUAAAUUUUGGACUAUUCCGUCUGACUCCACUAUUAAUUUUAACAAAUCUAACUAUUAAUAGUAUGUGUAAUAAAUUGUGCAGAUCAUUAGAUCGGGCAGAAUUAAUGGUUGGAUCAAAUGAAAUAGCAUAAAAUUUACACACUUAAUAUUUCAGUAGAUAAAAAUAUAUUAUUAAAUGUUAAGUGAUCAAAUCCUAACCACUUAAAAAAUCAAGUUGUUACCCUAGUAAUUUGCUCAAUAAAUAACCUACCGUCCUGUACAUUGGACAGAACAAGCUAUUUUAGAUUAAAAGUAUAGAAAUGUUGCCCACCUUGUUCAUUGGACAUAGCGGCCAUAUAACUUUUUAUCAAUUACUUGAAUAGACUCGAUCUAACAAGAAAAACACCUUUACAAGACAUUCUUUUUUUGACCUUUUUUUUUAAUCAUUAUUUCAAGAAAUUUGCUGUUAAAUCAUGUCUGCUUUGGAAGUAACCUCAUUAUGGUUGGGGAUAAAGGUUGAGAGGGCACUUUUUAUUAUUUUGAUUUUCAAAUGCAACCUUAUUUUCUAAAAGCCCUUAAGUAAAAAAAAUCACCAAAAUAUUCAAAUUAUAUGCAUGGGCAUAUCUAUAUAAAUUAGCACUAAAAAUUCAAACCCAAAGUUUCCCUAACAAAGAACACAGGAAAAAUACCAUAGAAAGAUUCCAAAGCCUACAAAAUGUUCAUAAUUAGUGCACGUAGAGCUCCUAAUAAGCAAAAGCAAAACCCCAGACUAUUGAGCAGAAAACCGCGGCAACUAUUACGGGGAAUAUUUGUAAAGUUUUAAAAACAUCACUUAUUUCUCUUACUUUUAUUAUUUGUGAAACAAAAUUUUAAAAACCCUGAACUAUAAUUUUACUCAUUUUGAUAAACAAAACACUCAUAAAUCACUUUGCUUGCUCCGAGGAAAACCACCAUCUGAAAACAAAUCUCUAGUAGGACCACCACAUCACAAAUUUAUGGUCCAUAAAAAUAUAAAUUUGAAAAACAAAAAUGAUAUUUGUAAAGAAAUGCGCUAGUAUCAAUUCAACUAUGUACAUUCAAAAUCAUUUUUUUAUGAACAUUAUUUUUUUUCUUAACCUCUUCUCAAUCCGUGGUUCAAACUUUUAAGUUGUAUUAAAUCAUUUUUUUUAUAAAAUAACUCAAAUUAAACAAAGAAAUUAUACUCAACUCUAUCACAAUCAUAAAAUGAAAAAAAUAAACAAAAUUCAAUUUACUAUAAUUUACAAAUUCAAAAUUCCAUAAUUAUCUAGAAAAAAUGAAUAAGAGAGAAUAUUAGAAAAAAGGGAAAAGAUAAGAAAGUGACGUAUUUUUUCCUUUAAUUUUUCAAGUUCCAUUUAUUUGAUAUGUGAAUUAUGUAUCAAGUGAGGAUUAAUGCAAUCAUUUUGCAAUUAUUAGGGGAGGUAAGUGAUUAUUUUUAAAACUUCAAGGGUACUAAAUAAUAUUAAGAGAAACCUCUGGGGAGGUUUCUGAUAAUAUCCCUUUCAAUUAUCGUACAACAUCAACAUGCUGACACCUCUUUCUAAUUUCCCCCAACUCAAAAAAUUGAUAGAGAUUUCUAAAGACAAGGACUCGCUUUUCUUUUCUCUAAGUCCUAGUUGACUUGGAUCUUAAUUAAUGGGCUUUCUCUUUCCAAAAACCACCAAAUGAGAUGGACGCAAGGAACCACUGGGCCAAUGGCUCAGUGGUCACCAGGGAGGGGCUUAAGUCCCUCCUCAGACUGUAAGUGAGGGUUCCAAUCUCACCUGCAGCGAAAAAAAAUCUAAAGAUUGUGCCACAGCACUCCCUUGGUCUAGUUGGGUCUGUAUACCCACUAGCCUACUACCACAGCCUCCUUAGGCUCCCCUUCCCCCUUAGAUAAGGAUAGAGUAGGUUAUACAAAUGUAUUUUUGCUGACAAAAAAAAGAAAAAGAGAUGGACCCAAGGCAAACAAGCUGAGAUCCAUAGGAUCAGAGUAAUCCGUGUACCAAAAGUAAGCUAUGAUACGAAAGGGAAUCAAUAAAUCAAAAAGAAGCAUCAAGGGUUUUUUAGUUGAAACAAACAAUAUAAUUCCUCUUUUUUUUCAAUUAACGUCUUAUAAAAGAUAUGCAUUACAUGAUUGAUUACGAGCAAACACCUUAGCAGUAUAUGACUCAACUGUUCCUGUUUACAUCUGCUAUCAAUAUGAAGCAACAUCUACCAACAAAAUGGCUUCUAUCAUUUCAGAGUUUAACACCAAUGAAUGAGAGUGCAACUGGAUAUGAAGCAACGGAAAGAUCCCCUGUAGCAUCACGAAUC